rnacentral:lncRNA from 1 species
CCUUUGCUAGAGGCAGAAACCAAAACAGCUCCAAUAUCUCGGAAGACCCACCAAAAGCUGCCACGCCAAGAUACAGCAAAGCUCAACCAUCUGAUGAGUAAAGCCUGAGAAUCAUCACAGCCUUAUUAUGGGCCUCAUGUUGAAGGUCAUAUUAGUAGAAAUGACACAAUGUAGCCACAUUCCAGAGAUCACCCUAAGGAUGUUGUUGUACACAAGGUAGCCACUUUAGGGCUGAUUCACUACAAGAUUUUACUCCAUAUCAAAUACGCUCAUAGGAAGACACAAGUGACAAUUGAGGUUCAGAUUUGUAUUUAUGCGCAGGCGAAGAAAGUCCAGCCAAGCUAUGGCUGCAAAUAUUCACAAGUUACAUGCAACAAAAUCACAAGCAUCCAGGUCAUUGCCCCACCAAGAUACCGGCCGGGUAGUCUCAAUGCUCAAUUACUAGCUCAAGAGGAUAGAUUGAAAGAUCAUCACUGUCACAUUAAGGGACCAUUUUGACAUUUUCUCAUGAUGCGUCUUUUUGUGUGUGUGCGCAUACAGAUGGUUUUUUGGUCAUUUAGGUUCAGAACUCUUCAAAUCCUAGGACGUCCAGUCAGACUAGUUGGAAAUUGAAGCUCAGAGCUGCAAAAAAUGGGGCCAAGAGAGGGUGAAAACGGUCAUGGCUGCAAAAGAACCAGUUGCAUGUGAAAGAGAAGACUCAAUCACAAGCCAUCUGGAUUUGCCAUGCCAAGAUAUGUGUCAUAUUGUCUCCGUGCCCCAAAAAUCGGCCCGAUUAGCUGUAUAAUCACUGCCUUAAACAUGGAAACUUUUCUAAAAGAGCCGGUUUGAACAACCUUAAUAAGGAAAAAAAAAAAUAUUUGGAUGAGCCUAGUAUUUUAAUUAGCUUUUAAGCAUAAGCAUAAAACAAAUGAGAUCUUAGCUCAAAGGGUCAAUUGCACUUUUGCCUCGCGCUCUUAAAGAACUGCAAAUAAAUGUAGCUCAGAAUGAUCAGAAAAUUGAAUAGUACUACUGCUGUCAGCAUCACAUCGCCACCAUUGAAGGUGAUGGAAACAAAUAUCGCUUCUCGUCCCUGUUGUCAAAAGAAAACACGCAAAAAAGGUCCAUUGGGCUUUAUGUGCACAAUGCAAAUACAGCAUGAGCUUUAACGGAGACAGGCUCAAAGGGAGAAAAAAAAAAUAUAUCUAGUCCAAUACGAAUAAUUAUAAGAAAAAUGACAAAUGUAUGAACAAGGAAAUUGAAAAAAAUUACGAUAAAGUGAAAUAUCAAUUGCUUAGUGUCGCCUCUAAUUGGCAAGGAAAAGUAUGCCUUAGAGCCUUGGUGACAGACAUAAAGCGCACAUUAAGUGACGCGAAGCGCUCAACAUGUUUUAAGCCUUGCUCGGGACAUAAGCGCGCCACUGAAAACACAGCUUCUUGUUUCCACCUUUGCAGAAGGUUGUUGGUUUGGCUACAAGAGAAAUCAUAGGCCAAUCAGAGGGGGCCAACCACCCUCAAAAGAAAUUCCCUUUCUCCCUGUUGACCUCAUUCUUCAUCCUAGGCUGAGCUUCCAUCCCUGGGUCAUUCACAGUUACUGCUCCUAUUUUGUGCUGGUCUUUAAUUUAUGCCCCUCGUAACAAACAAUUUUUUGGCAAAACAUAAGUUUAUAUUUUCGUAUAGUAAUAUCCUGCAAUUUUUGUUCGGGUAUAACUUCAAUUUCUAAAGAAUUUAACAUUAUGUCCCCAAAACAUGCAAUUAGGGUGUGUUUGUGGAAGAAAAUAUUUUUCAGAAAACAUUUUCCUAUUUUUUCAUGUUCGGUUAAAGUUUUAGAAAAAUAUUUUCUUUAGAACAACAAGCUCUUGAAAAUAAGCUCCUCAAUAAAUGUAGCGAAAACAAGGGACAUGUAGCAAAAGCAAGUGACUUACCUCCUCUCACCCUUACAACCACCCACCUCAGCAAGCCCCACCCCGCGCCCCCCUCCACCAUACACCCCAACCCCUACAACUCUCUCCCUCUGCCCCACAACAACACCAUCAACCUGCCCCCUACUCAUCCUCUAAUUUUGUGUUAAAUAUAUACAAAUAUUUUUAGAAUAAUGUUUUCAUUUACUUUUGUUUUUCAACAAUUUUUUAUUUUUAUUUACACCAAUCACAAAACCACUUAUUUUCCUAAAAAAUGCUUUCUUUGAAAAUAUUUCCCAUAGAAAACAUUCUCCUCCAUACCAUACCAAAAACACCUUAAAUUACAGCAAAAGCUAAAAAGAGCUAUUGAUUAAAGCAAACAUGAAAUCAUUGACAUACCACAUAUGGCCAACCACCCUGAAAAAAGAGCAACCCGGUGCACAACGCUCCCAAUACCGCGGAGCCGGUCACAAAGGUUUAUAGCAUUUCUGCAAGAGGCUGUUUCCACGACUCGAACCAUAACAUUCUAAUCACAUCACAUUACUUUACCAGUUACACUUAGAAAAAUCCCCACCCUUGCAAAAUCAUUGCUCCCUCCGUUUAAAAAAGAAUGACCUAGUUUGACUUGGCACGGAGUCUAAAAAAGUAAAGAAGAUUUUUUAUUCUUAUGGUACUAAAUUACAGUUGUAUCAAAUGUACCAAAAUUUCUUUCAAUCUUUAAGCAUGUCGUAUGUAAAAUUGAAAUUAAAGUAUUAUAAAAAUAAGGUCAUUCAUUUUGAAAUGGACUAAAAAGAAAAAUAGAUCAUUUUUUUGAAACGGAGGGAGUACAAAAAUACCAAAUAAUGUGUAUCUUCUUUGGAUGUAUCGGGAACUAAUUAUGUAUCUCGACACAUCUAAAAUAAAAAAGAAAGUAUAGGAAGCUAAUUAUGUAUUUUUGUAAAGAAAAAAAUGUAUUUCAUUGGAUGUAUCGGGGACUAGACCCAAAAUUGAGAUUUCAGUGACUAUGCAAAUAUCAGAAUUUCCUACAAUUAAGCAAACUGUAGGGAUUUAUGUUGUUUCUAAAAAAAAUCAUUUUCGACCCGGACCCGAAUUUAUCAAAUAGAGGGAGGCUCAGAUGUGUGUAAAAUGGGGAGCAAAAAGAAGAAAAAUACGACAACGCCAUGGCAGCAAAACGAACCGGGUUUCGGGUAUUGACCCGCCAAGAUACGGGUCGGGUUUUCUCCAUUGCCCCGAAUAAUAAUAAUAAUUUUCAGCCCAGAUAUCAUCAUCACACAGCAAAUAAUUAAUAUCAUCAUCAUUGCCUCUCUUUUUUUUUGUAGUAGCAAUUUGUGGACUGUGUUUCCAAAAGAAAAGUACAAAAUGUAUCAGAGGGAGUAAUAAUAUUAGAAGUACUAUACUGUUGGCAUCAAUGCCAAAGUAGAGUUCAUUGGAAAUGAGAGGAAGGGAGGGUUGUUGAUUUUGGUGGAAAUCAUAGACCAAACAGAGAGGGCAACCACCCUCCCAUGAAAAUCUAUUCUCUCUGUUGGCCUCAUUCUAGGCUGAAAUGAUCCUCAUUCUUGAGUAAAACAAUCUUUGCAGACAAGCUAAAGAGAUUAGAGAAAAUUGAAGGAUAGGUGUCUUUUAUUAUUGAAUUGAGUAAUGGUGACAUUGACCAAACCUAAUGGUCCGAAAUUCAGAUCCGACCCGGAUCCGAAUUUAUCAAAUAGAGGGAGGCUCAGAUGUGUGUAAAAUGGGGGAAACAAAACGGAGAAAACUACGACAACGCCAUGGCUGCGAAAACGAACCAGGUUUCGGGUCUUGCCCCGCCAAGAUACGGGUCGGGUUUUCUCCAUUGCUCCGAAUAAUAAUAAUAAUAAUAAUAAUAAUAAUAAUAAGUUCUGCCCAGAAAUCAUUAUCACACAGCAAAUAAUAAAUAUCAUCAUCAUUGCCUUUUUUCGGUAGUAGUAAUUUGUGGACUGUUUUUAAAAGAAAGGUGAAAAGAUGGAAAAGAGGAAGUAAUAAUAAUAGUACUGCUCUUGCUGUUGACAUAAACAUGUUAAUACUUUAUUUUAUUUUAUUUUAUUGGUUUUUGUUGGGAAAUAAGAGAAAGGGAGGGUUGUUGAUUUGGUGGAAAUCACAGGCCAAACAGAGUGGACAACCACCCUCCAUGAACAUCCAUUAUUUUGAGCUCUGUUGGCCUCUUUCUGGGCUGAAAUGAUUCUCACUUUUGAGUAAAGGACUGUUUAUAGAUAGGGCUACAGAGAGUUGCAUCUUGGGUUCGUAAUGUUAAGAUAAUGAAAACUAAUAUUAAAAAUAUAAUUUUAUUAUAUGAUUUGGCUUAUAUAUAAAAUCUACUAUUAGAAUAAUAUUAAAUUUACUAUUUUAUUAUGUUUUCUUCAAGAAAGAGGUUAGUCAAAUAUGAAAAAAAUUAUAUUUUUUCUUUCAAAAAAAAUAAAAGUAAUUAUGUUAAUUUUUAUUUUCAUUUUAAGAAAAAAAUAAAACUUAAAUAUAGUAAGAAAAUUAGGACAAAACUUCUAACAAAUCUCUUCUUUUUGGCUUGAUUUUCUUCACUUGAUUCGUCUUCUCUUCAUAUCACAUGCAUGAACUUUGUUGUUGAUAUAAUCUUCAUAACUGUCGCUUGCCGUGAUUAAAAAUAAGGUUUAAAAUAUCAUGGUUAAAAAUUGAUUUAACAGUAAUAUUUUAUUUUUAUAUUUAAAGAUGCAGCAGCAGAAGUGUUGAAAAUAUGGUUGAAACUUAUUCUCCACAUGUAGUUCGACAAAAAUCUUCAUUAUCUUCCAAAAUGUUGCAGCUUGAUUUUAAAACCGCUCUGGACCUGUUUAAUCUCAUCUCAUCACACCAUUGGACCAUUAAACCGUAAGUUAUGAUACCACUUGUUAGGUUUGUAAUCGAGAGGGCGCCAUGCGGAAGCUUCUAGUUGCAAACUAUGAGACGAUAAAUUAGACGACAACGAAAAAAAUACUAAAAACAUAAUUUUAUUAUAUGAUUGGCCAAUUGGCCAACAUAUAAAACAUAAUAUUAAAAAUAUAAAACUAAUAAGAGAGAAAAUUUCCCCCUAAACGAAAAUCUUAAAAGACUAAAUCGUGGAUGCUAUUUUAUUAUGGUAUGAGAAGGGGGUCUUCUAGUUAUAGAUGUUCAAAUCCUUUCCUCCAAGAAAGAGGUUAGCCAAAUAUGAAAAAAAAAUUAUAUUUUUCUUUCAGGAAAAAUAAAAGUAAUUAUGAUAACUUUUAUUUUCCUUUUAAAAAAAUAAAAUUUAAAUAUAGUAAGAAAAUUAGGAUAAAAACCCUAAGUACCCACUAAAAGUGUCAAAUUUGUCAAUUAAGUAAAAUCCUUUAAAUUUUAAAAAUUAAAUUAAAAAAAAAUCAGCUUCUGACACUUUAUUUGGAUGAUUGUUGCAUGUGUAUCAUAAUGUACGGAAUUGUAUUGUGUUUCAUUUUAUUCAGUGAAGUGGAUACACUUAAUAGAUUGGAGCUAGAGAGUUGUGCGAGAAGACUCAACAAAAGGUCUCGAACAAGUAUUCAAUUAAGUAGUCAUUUAGCCUUUAGAACUUUAUCAUGAAAAAUUAUUUUAUUUUAGUAAAAAAAUUAAAAUAUUAUGAAUCAUUUGAUAGUGUAUUAACAAAAGUAAUGAUUCAUUAUUUUUAUGUAUUAUUAAUACUUUAUUUCGUACAUAUUUUUAGUCUAUAUAUAAAUAAUAUAUGCAUUACUAAUAUCAUCCUUUUUUAUAUAUUAGUCUACGAGAAUUCAUAUUGCACGUUUAUCCCUAAAUACUUAAUACACUUAAUUUGUAAUGUAAAUGAUAAAUUUUAACUCAGUAGUUUUAACUUGAAAUACUAUAAAUGUUUGGUAUUCAGUGUCUCAAAUAUACAUAUAAGCACAACUAAUUCGGAUUCGAAGUAUGGGAUUAAACAUGGAUAUUCCAAUGGUUUAAGUAAACAAUUUAAUUAUCAUCAUCCUUUCCUUGCUCUAGCGACUAAAAUUUUGACUUAGGUUUCAUAUGUUGAAACUUAAGUUAGUGACACGACCCGACUGGGGCCUUGCCGUAAUGGGCAUCCCAAGUCUAACCAAGACUGGGAACCACCCCUGUUACCCAACCCAACCACCAUUAGUAUACCUUGAGUCGGCCGAACUGUGAACAUAUAACAAGAUGGAAUAACUGGACAAGGACUGACUUUGGGAUAGGUUUAUUCCUAGAUUAACCCUACCAAGUCAUCCCGUCCCAACCAAACCACCAAGACAAACCAAACCGAGCCAAGGGCCAUAAACCAGGCCAUAACCGAAUGAGAUCCAAAACAUAAUAUGAUUAAUCUCAAAAUAAAAUACGAUGGAACAACCAACAAUAUCGUCAACCGAUAUCAGCCCCAAUAUCAAUACCAAUGAUAAGGCUGACACCAAUACCGAUCCCGCCCAUUUCAACCCAUAGUAGUACCACAAAUCCUCUAACCAAAAGAGUAAUAAUAUCCAAUUGGGACAUGCCCCCAACCAUAACCAAAAUCAAUGUACAGAAAUAAAUCAGAAUGUUUAAGAAUAUCCAUAAUAUAGAAUGGAGCCUUCCGGAAAGAUAGAAGCUCACCACUUCAAUCCAACAGUUAUCCCCGAGUAAUCACUAUGUAGGAGGAGUAGAACAGCCCGUUCCUGCAUAGCGUGGGUAUACAGCCGCCCAAAGACGGCUUAGCGAGUGAACGCUAGCAUGAACUCAUAAUAAGGAUAAAAUAAUAUCAUUUGUAAAACCAUCAUAUGCACACAAACCGCACAUACAUACAUACAUACAUAUAUAUAUAUAUAUCCAUGUAUAUAUAUAUAUAUAUAUAUAUAUAUCCAUGUUGGAAAAGAAAAUCGGGUUUAGCAUGCCACUAAAAUCUUUAUCUGGGCUAUGUAGCUUUGUUGUCCUAAUCCACCCAUGGGCUAUAUGGGUUCAGUUCCCCCUGCUAAAAGUGCCCCAGUGCGUGAAGCCGCAUAACCAGGAAAGAAAACCUGGGAUAACUAGUACAUCCCCCAAAUAUAAAGUGUGACAUUAUGCAUACGGUCACCAAGACCAAACCUCACAUCGAUAAAUAUGAGUUUCCAGUUUUGGUCUCCCCGGGACCUUCACCUUUUAUGGCUUUGCUACACACUCCGCCAUUAUUGCCCAAUUAAAACUAUUACCAAGCAACCAACCAAUUAAUUAACCUUUUAUUAACCAAGGCCAUUAGUAGUGGUAUCGUCAUACCGACUAUACUUGCAAGUUUUGUCCAUAGUAAACCAUAUAUAGGUUUAAGGGAUUCCAUGUACCCUUCAUAAUUUUCAAUUAACCAAAACCAUGGCUACCAAGUCCUUUCCAAUCUAUUUAAAACCAUUUAAACCAUUCAUAUCAUUUAGGGUUCCAUGAUCAAGUUUAAAGCAUGCAUAAGUUCCAUUGAAAAAUCAAUAUUAUAGUGGAAACAUUUUUAAAGGCAUUUUAUCAAACACAUUGGGGCGUAGUAUUUUCAAAAUCAAAGUCCAUUAAAAAAGAACCAUUCUCACGCAACCAAUUAUCCAAAAUCACCAUUAAUGUGUAUAAAUGCAUAAUUAAAAUAUGAAAAAACCACAACCAAGCAUUUAUAACCAACCAACCCCCCCAAAUCAUAUUAAAAACCCCAAAAUCAUACAACAAUAAAAUCAUGAAAACCAUUCAUAAAAAACAUGCCUUAGUUAGAACUAAUAAUGAGAAAAGAGAACAUGCCUUAAUUGACCAAAGCAGACAAAGAGAAACCACCAACAAGAUUCCCAAUUUAGUCCUCUAGUUGAAACCCUAGUUUCCUUGCCAAAAACUUUUGAGAGAAUAGCCUCACAAAAGAGUUAGAAGUCGUGGGAUCUUAUUAGGGUAAGUGGAGAAAUGUCUAGAUUACCCCCACUUAAGUUGCACAAAAUCCCAUCAUAGGGGUACGACUGACCCUCAAGAGUCGUACCCUUCGAUACGAGUGGUACCCACCACUCGUAUCUAAGACUUAACCCUUGGACCCAACACUGUCCCAUGUACGACUCAUCCUACCCAAGUCGUAUUGACAGUAUAUGAUUUGUACCCUUAACUCAUAUCCUUGGCAAGAUAGAAUCACAAAAUAUUUAAACACUGUCCACCAUACGAGUCCUGGGUACGAAUCGUACCCUGGCUUACGGCUCCUAGUGAUCCACUCAUACUCAGAUCCAACUUAAGUUACUAAGUCUAAGGUUAAGUGAAAGAACCAAAUGAUCUGUAUCCAACCAUACGGCUCGUACAACCAAGUAGUACUCAUUAUAGUGACCAAAAUCUAGCCCACCAACCAACACUGGUCAGCAUACGACUGGACCAUACCAUUUGUACCCCAGCAUACGGCUCGUACCCAUGAGUUGUAUUGGGUCCAUAGACCAGAAUUCCAGGAAAUUUUCUAAGGUCCAGAAAUCAGGGUGUUUCAGUCUCCCCUACUAGGAACAUUAGUCCUCGAAUGAUGGAUAAGGUAGGGAUAACCACACGCACGAGUUAUUUGCAUUAUUAAAUAUAUUUUCAAUCCUUAACAAAGUUUGAAAACGUAGGGGCAAAGAUAUUAAUAUUUCCUUUAACAAACUCAGAAAAUAAAGAUGUGUUGAAGACACAUACCUUCCGCACAACUUGUUCAUUUGCUUGAUUCUGAUUAUUUUUCUCCUUUUUUUUAUUUUAUUGACUCUUCUCUCUUUGAGACUUUUUCCGACUCUAUUUUCUUGACACUUUUCUCUUUUUUUCUUUUUUGAACAUAUUUUUUCUCUCUCCUAUUUUUUUCUUUUUUUUGCAACUUUUCUGACUCUAUUCUUUUGCUCGAUACUUUUCUUUUGAGGUUUGCUGACUCUAUCUUAAUUACAAAAGAGGGGUAUGAAAGAAAAUAGAACUAAAGCUCAAAACGGGUAAACAAAGGAUGACAUAAUGUUUGGAUAACAGAAAGAAAUAUCUUCGUCAUAUCAAUCCUUGACAAUGCAAGUACACAUCAUGCAAUAUGAAGUGAAAGAUGAAGAUCAUUUGUGUCACUUUAACAACACUAACUUUAACUGAGCAUGUGUGUCACUUUUUCUUCUACACUUGUCAAACAUAUAACUCCACCUUUGUUGUACAUCCCUCACAUCGAAUGACCCAUUACUUUCGUGGAGCUGAUUAUCUUUAUGUUCCUCUUGAUAUAGGGAUCAAACGUCCACUAUUCGACCUAAUUGAGCUAUGCUUUUCAAUUGAUGACCAAGUUAUUCUUGUGAUUCUCAAAAUUAUUUCCUUAAUUUGAAAGAAGGCUUCAACCAUGGUCACCAAAUAUCUUAACAUGCUACCUAUUUCUCAAAUGCUUUUUUUUAAAUUUAACCCUCUGAUUCAAAGUUUCAUGAUUAAACUGAAUUAGAGAUCUAACUGAAAAUUCCGCAAGCAUGUCAUAUCACUAGAACCAACAUAAAAUGUAUUGUGUAAAGAAGACAAAUAAACAAACUAAAAUAAAACAAACAAAAAUACCAUAUUUCAUUAGAAGGAAAAAUAGAAGGGUUUGAACAAAGACAAUAAAGAAAUAAAAUGAGAUAGAUCCCGAACUACAACCUUGAAAUAAUUAGGAUAACAAAAAGGAAAAUAAAACAAACUACCAAACAUCCAUCAUAGCAGAAAGAGGAGUGACUUCCCAAUUGCUGAGCUUGACAUCUUAGGCACUGUUUUAGAUAUCCGCAUGACUAGAGCUUUCCUCAUUAUCAAUGUUCUACACCAUAAUUGAUCUCUCUUGAAUUAUCUUUUCAAUUUCUCUUUUCAAAUCCCAACAAUAUUCAAUACUAUGACCCUGAACAUCAGAAUGAUAUGCACAUCGUAUAUUAAGAUCAAAAUUUCUUGAAUGCGGAUUAAGAGUAUGCCCAAGGAGAGGAGUGAUCAUGCCCCACUGUACCAAUCUCUGAAAUAAAAUGCAUAUGACUCUCCAAUUGGUGUGAAGCUAUCUCUCAAUUUUUGCCUUAUUUCAUUGUUUGGCUUGGAUUGAAAAUUGGGCCUAAAAGGGCUUUGGUAUGUUUGUGGAGUUAGAGGAUGACUCUGAAGAGUUGGUAUGUACCAUUAUGGUUAAGAUAGGGAUUGAACAUGUGGUUGUGCAUUAUAUACUAGAUAUGGAGACGGGGAACAAAGUAUAAUGGAUUUUUGGAGUGGUUAUGUGGAGCUUGGGAAUGAACUUAGGAUUGAGCCUAAGAGCGACGACGACAUGAUCUUUGUGACCGUGCCCUCUGUCUAACUACAAUAGCAGAUGCAUCUUCCUCAUUCUUCUUCUCCCCAACACCUCCUGAACCCUUUUAAAUUGCUUGAGUAGUUACUUUCAAUAUUGUAAAACUCACAACGUGACUGGUUUUAAUUCCAUCAUCUACCAUCUCCCUCAUUUUGAGGACCUCAAUAAAUGGCUUGCCUAAUGCAGGUAACAAGUGUUGAUAAUAUGUUUUAUCCUGCGCUUGAAUAAAUACCUCCACUAUCUUACUUUCUUUCAUUGAUGGUUUCACCCUAGCAGCUUGUUCACGCCAUCUAAUUGCAUACUCUCUAAAACUUUUUAUACUCUUCUUCUUUAUGUUAGUUAGGGAUUUUUAUCAGGAAUCAACUCCACAUUGUAUUGAAAUUGUUGCAUGAAUUCAUUAGAUAGGUCAUCCCAACUAUUUCACGUGUCGAUGUCUUGAUCAACAAACAAUUCUGAAGCUAGACUUGGAAGACUCUCACCGAAAUUAGCCAUGAGUAAUUUUUCUUUCCCUCCAGCGCCCCUUAGUUGGUUACAAUAACACCUCAAAUGUGCCACUGGGUCCCAAUGUUUGUCAUAUUUCUCAAACUUUGUCUUUUUAAAACCAAGAGGGAGAUUAAUUCCUGGAAACAUGCACAGAUCUUUAUACGAGACACUUUUGUAACCCUCGAAUCCUUGAAAGUUUUUCAUAGUCAGUUCCAAACUUCUCAAUUUUCUGGUCAUUUCCUUUUGUUCUUCUGUCAUAACAGGCUUCUCAUGUUAAGAGGAAAUUAAGGUGGGUGAGUGUAGCUAUAAGGAUCAGUUAACUUAAAUGUGGGCUCAAUAGCAUGAUGCUGAUCAGCAAAAAUAUUCAAUCCAGGAUCUCUCGCAGAGUAGGAAAACACAACCAUUAGAUAGACAUUAAAAGCAGGAGCUUCAAGCAGGGGUGGCGCCGUAAAAACAUAAAUAGCAGGUGGAGCCAAGCAUGUGGUAUUUUUAUGUUGAGGAGUGAGGAAAUAAACAUUGGAAGUGUUUGGAUACUGUUGCCUCGGAGUAGAUCCUGAUGCAUGAUAUGUCAUUUCAACAAAAAUAGGAAAUUGUGCAUGUGAAACUGGAGGUAAGCUAGAAAGAUAUUCCAGAUUAUCAAUGAAAAAUGGAGAAGGUGGCAACCCGUUAGCCCAAGAUUGAUGCAUUUCUAUCGCUUGUUGCCUUAAUUCCUGAAUCUCUUCAUUAGAUCCUAAAUUUUCAUUCCCCGAACUCCUUAUCCAAUUAGUGACAACAACCUCGGUAUCCUCAUUGGUCAUAACUUUCUCUUCGACUUGGUGCAAUAUGGAGGACCAGACAAAAUGCCACAAACCAACCACCUUAAACUAACUGAACAAGAGAUAACAAAUGCGUUAGAGUUUAAUAUUUUUUCAAAAUUUCUUUUUUUAUUAUUAUUUAUUUUUACAAAGAUCACCGAACCCGAGAAGGGCGCCUACGUAUCUCAAUCUCGAGAGAGGAGAAUCAGGUGUGCGUAGUUCGUGAAGUUUUGGCACAACAUGGUCAAUCAAACUCUUUUUUUUAUUUUUCUUGAAACUUUAAGAAGAAAAGAAAAUAACAAAUUAUCAAAAGAAUUGACGAAAAUAUUUUUUUGAAUUUUUUCAGGUUUAACAUCCCUAUACAAAAUGAAACUUAUGAUUAUCAAAGAAAAUUCUUUUUGGAUUUUCGAUUUUGAAUUUCAUAUGAAAAAUAAACUUGAAACUAUUAAAGAAAAAUCUUUUUGUAGUUUUCUUUUAAAAAUGUAUAUGAAACACCUACUCUAAAUGAAGAGUGAAGAAAAUCUUUUUGAAUUUUUUUAAAUAAGAUCACUGAACCCUAGAAGGGUUGCCUACAUAUUCACUCCCGAAAGAGGAGAAUCAAGUUUGUGUAGUUCAUCCAGAUUGGACAAUUAAGGAUUAAAGAACAAACUAAACCUUGAUUUGAGAGACACGACCAAAGACAGACAAUAAAACAUCUAUAAAAUCUCUUUGGGGUUUUUAAUUUGACACUUCACAUAAAGCUGACACUGACACCUAUGAAAGAAAAAUCUUUUUUAGUAUUUUUGUUAUAUAACAUGUACAAAACUUCUACCAUUUUUUUAAUUUUCCUUUUAUAAAAAAAUCUAUUUAAAAAAAAAUCUUUUUUUUGAAAAUUUUGAAUUAUGAAUGCUUGCCAAAGAGAACAAAAGACAAAAAAAAAUUGAUUUUUUUUCUUUUUGAGAAAUAAGUGCAAAAGGUAAAAGAUAUUUUUGAAUUUUUGAAUUUUGAAAAACAAAAGCCAUCAAGAACUCUUAAGAAAAACUACAAACUUUUUUUGGACUCGCUUUUCUUUUAUUUUUCCUUGCCUAAGCACAUGCUUCUUUAAUUCUAGCACAUGCUUUACCCAAAAUCAGUCAGUUAAAUGACCCUAUUACCCUUAAAGAAGCAAUAAUUAGUACAUACGAAUUCUUUAGGGGUGAGUCUCCUACAAAGGACUAAGUGGGUCCUGCUAGGUCUCAAUAUGAUGCAGAUAAGCAUGACCUAAAGGCUGACUUAUGCUGGGGUCUACUAACAAGGUUGUUUGGAGAGUGUAUGGUCGAUGGUGGCUACAAUAGCUUUUCACCCACUCCAUACCAAUCGAUGGCUCCCCCUCCUAAAACAAGGGUGACUCAACUAGAAUUCGUGUAUACAACUUGUACUACAAGACUUGUUUCGAAAGAAAUGACUCGAGUUAUGCACGUGAUGCUAGAUAUAAAGCGGUAACAGAUAAGAGAAAACCAGUAAACACGUAGCAUGUAGUCACUCAACAAUGAUAAAAUAAUAACACAAACAAAAUAUUUAUACACCCAUAAUUUCAAACUAAGCUGAUACAACUUCAAAAAUAACCAGAUAUUCUGGGUUCGAUCCUCAGCAGAGUAGCCAGAGCUGUCACACCCUUUUUUUUACCAAAAAAGAUUGAUUUUAAGUUUGAAAGGAUUUUUAUUAUUAAAGUGACAAAAAUAAAGAUUAACAAUUUAUUUCGAAAAGAACUUUUAACAAUAAAACUCAGAAUCGCCACUUGGCAUAAAUCGGGUGUGCCAAGUCACCUUUAGAAAUCCCUUUUUAAAAUGGUUUUGACUCUUUUAAAAAUUGAUCCACGAAUAGAGACUCCGGUUAAGGAAUUCUGUUGAUCGACGGGAAGGUGUUAGGCACCCCUCGGACCCGUGGUUCGACCACGAUCGCUUCGUAAAGUAUAUCAGCUAGUAUGACACUAUGAAAUGUAUAAACCAACAAAACAUAUAACAAGAAAACAAAACAACCAAAUAAUUAAAAAUCUAAAAAUAAUGUCCAGUAAGAAUUAUACAGUCCCAAAAAUAGAAAAAUGUGAAAAUAUAAAUCCCAUUCUAAACUACAUUAAUCCUAAACUACGCUUCACCCGAUGCCUCGGGUCUUGAUAUAUUUUCUCAAAAAACAACCUGUAAAGAUAUAUAGAAUUCUAAAAUUCCGUCAUUUCAAAUACCUAUAUAUAUUUUAUUUUUUCAGAAAAUAUUUUGUCUUAUUCCUAACUAUAACAGUUUAUGAAUUUCAACUUCUUAACUGCUUAAAAAUAUUCUUUCAGAUAAUUGGUUAUUUUUCAUUGUUUUUUAUUGAUGUCGAUCAUUAACAAUAUCAAGUUGUUUAGUAUUAGACCUUAUAUAUUAAGGUAUUUACUAAAAGUCUCUUGAGUGAUGCUAUCUUUUAACUUUUUAAAUUAAAGAUAAAUCUUUGAACUUGCACUAUUUUUUUAAAAAAGGAAUUUGAAAUGAGAUAAAUUUUAUCUCAUAAUAUAAGAGUGUAUCUUAAAAAGAGACUUUUAAAUUUAACACGACACAAAAAAUGUUACUAUAAACACACAUAUCAGGAGAGAUAUUUGAUAAGGAAGAAAAAUAAAUCAAGAAAAAGUCCCAACAAAAUAAUUGAAUUAGGUUAUUUGUCAGAGGGAAACAAAGAGAGAAUAAUUUAGACCAUUUGAGAUUUGAACUAAAAGGGGAGUAUUUUUUUUCUUAUUUUGUCUUAAUCUUUUCAAUCAUUUGUUGAUGACGACUUAAGUUUUUAGUUGUUAUGUUAUUAUUUUUCAAAAUUUAAUUAUUAUUUUAGUUGAGCUUUGCAUUUUUGUAGGUGCAUGUUAUACAUUGAUACUCGCACUUUAAAAUUGUUAUGCAUCAUGUAUACCAUCUUAUGUUAUACCAAUUCUCUUUAAAUAAUGGAUCAUGCCUAAAUAAGGGUUACAAAUUCAUUCUUCACUUUGUUAUGUUCGAUUGGAGAUUGACAUAAUGCUCAAGCAAAUGUGUUUUUAUUGAGGCAUCAGUUUCGUAGUUUUCAAUCUAAAUCAAAACAAGUGUUUGGAGAUGUUGGUUGAUUAUCAUUGUUGGUGGCUCGAUUGUCGACUGCAAAUCUUUAAAUAAAUCAAUUAAUUGAUGCAUAAAUUGAAAGACACGAGCAUAUUUGUGUGAUUUCGGCUUCUUCAAUUAGUGGUCGUUUCGUCAUGAAAAAAAAUUAACUUUCUAAAAUUUUCGAAGUUUAUACUUUUUAAAUCAAUUUUAGAAUUUAUAUUUAAAUUUAUUGUAAAAAUAUAUGAAAUUAAAAUUUUAAGUUUUUUUUAAAAGGUAGUUUUAAAAAGUGAAAAUGAAUUUGGCUAUUUUUCAAAUUUCAAAUAUAACUUAAAGUUAUAUUUGAAAUUUUCAUUACCAAACGUUAAAUUGUGAAUAAAGUGAUUUUUUUUUAAAAGAGAACAAUGAAAAAUUUUCAUGCACAGACAUGUUCUUAAUAUCCUUGAGAAAAAUAGCACCUUGAGAAAAAUAGCAUACCGUUUGAAAACAAGAUACUUCAAACACAAAUUUUAUAUUGAAGCAGUAUUUAAAAUUUGCUAACUCUGUUUAUUGCUUAUAUAUGUUGCAACUUUGCAAUUAAAAAGACUGAAGAAAAAUCCAAUAAAAAGAAAUGAAGAACAAACAAAAAUUAUUGGAUGAAUAUAUCAUAUAGUUAUGAAAAAGAAACGUACAAGAACUUAGUUUGUUAUUAUAUUACGCCAAAUAAAUAAAUAAAUACUAUAUAUUUAUUAAGAAAAUUAUGAUGAUCUUUCGAUUCUUACAAAAAAUUAAAAUAAAUAACAAAUGGACAAGAAAGAAUAGCAUAAGGAAUAACUAUGUUUUUUAUUCUAUAAAAUAAUAUAUAGUUUUUGCUUUUGCUUUUGAUCCAAUUUCUAGAGUUACGGUUUUUUUUUUAACAAUAAUAAUAAUAAAAAAAAGUAGUUCAAUACUUUUGUUUUAUCUUUACUACAUUAAUUAUGGUAUAUUUUAAUUAUUAAAAUUGCAAAAUAGAUAAGAGAGAGUAAUGAACAAUAAUCUUAAUAACUGAUCAGACUUUUAAAAUUAAUUUAUUUUUAAAAGUGUAAUUUUUAGAAGUGCUUUUAAAAAAUGCUUUUAGUGAGAAACAUUUUGUGUUUGGUCAAAAAAAAUUUAAAAUAUUUUUGUGCAAUUAUUAUUAUUAUCUAGCCAACCUUUUUAAUGUGCUUUUAAGUGUAUUUGUCAAAAAUAUUUUUUUAAAAUAAGUGCUUUUAGAAAGAAGCUGUUUUUUUAGCUUAUGAAGAACUGAUUUUACACUUCACAAAAGCAUUUAUUCUCCUUCAAAAAUUCAGCGAAACAGCUCAUUUUUUUUAAAAAAAAAAUACUUUUGAAUAAAAAUAAACUUGGCCAGCUUGGCUAUAAAUCAACUGAAAAUUUAAUAAAAAAUUAUUAGACACAUAUAAUAAUACUAAAUUGUGGAUAUUCAAUAUACCAAAAUAGAAAUAAAUAAGUAAUAUUAAAGUAGGUAAGAUCUAAAAUGAGCACACAAUAAACUUAAAAAGUGAGUUUUUUAUUUAAAAAAUUUUGAUUGUCCACAAACAAGAUGAAACAUCUUAGAGUCAGUCAUAUAUGUUGAUUAAUUUUUGAAUGAUAAGAAAAAAUUAAUUAUGAGAAGAAUCUUAUGUCUUUUAUUAUUUUCAUGCAUACUAUUUUUUAUCAUUUAGUUUCAAUAUUAUUCUCGCAUCAUUAUAUUGUGAUAUUGUUCCCGCCCCAUAGUAUAAAAAAGGGAUCUUGUUUGAUGAAAUGGACAGUACUAAAAUAAUACCAAUACAUACAUACAUAUAUAUAUAUAUACAUACAUAUAUAUAUAUACAUAUAUAUAUACAUGCAUAUAUAUACACACACACAAUAAAAAAAGUUAGAAUGUAAUAAAAAUGAUCCAAAAAAUUGAAAAUAAAUAUCUCAAAUAUGUCACAAAUGAUUAAAAUAAAUAUGUAAAAAAUUGAAAAUAAAUAUCUCAAAUAUGUCACAAAUGAUUAAAAUAAAUAUAUUUUUAUUUUCUCUCCUCGUUCUUUUUUGUUUUUUCUUUAAAAAAUUCGUGCAUCGCGCGAGGAUGAAUACUAGUUCAUAAUAAAUAAAGAUCAUCAGAGAAUAUAUCACUUACAUAACACUCAUGAGCAUAGGAAUAAUUAUUGUUGCCUUGAGCAUGAAUUCUUUCACUUACAAAAGGUGGCUUGUAUAAAAUUAGAUUCUAAAUUAUCCUAACAAAAGCUUAACCUUUAAACUUUUAAAUUUGCAAUUGGCAUGGCGGUGUCUUGCCUUCGAAUGAUGUUCCGUGGACUGAACUCUUACCGAGGCCUUCUCACCUCCAAUAAACUUCUGAUUUCAACCAAUACUUAGAUAUAGCACUUCAAUUUUUUGAUGAAAAUUUUAGUACAUUACAUACUAUUUUUUUACAGCAGCUAGGUUAAAAAAUAAAAAAAUUUAAGAAAAAUAUGCAAUAAAAACUAUCUCAAAGUAGCAAAAAUUCACCUGACGACCGACGCGAAUAUUGGAUGAAUAAUACUCCAUCGUUAUAUCGCUUACCCCCUAUAAGAUGUUGCUCGGUAUGUAGACACUACACACCCAAGGGCCCGUGCUAGCACGUGAUUAAUAUAUGUUAUUUUUUAUCUCACUUUAUGUGACACAAAAAAAAUUUAGAUAAUCAAUCAUUAUGUUAAAUAUGUUUUUAGAUAUUUUAAGUUGUUAGUUAUUGUAAUUUAUAAUACUUUUUCGGCACUGUAAUUUACUAUUUUAAGUUGUAGCUAUUGUAAUUUAUAAUACUCUCCUUAUCCAAACUUUUGUGGCAUUGAUAGUCAAUUAUAUUUUAAAAAUAAUUUAAUAUUUUAAUUAUUGUGAUUUAUAAUAUUUUUUUUCUAUUCUAAUUUAAAUGACAUAUAUAAUUUCGACAGUCAACAAAAUAUCACGAUUGAAAUAGCGAAACAAACAUGUCUUAAAUUACUCAUAAUAACUUAUUAGAAGUGAUAUAGCAAAAUUACUAUAAAAAAUAGUUGUGGAAAAAAUUUAAGUCAGCCUCAUAUAAGAUGUCAAAUUAAUUUAAAACAUCAAUAGUUAAUUUAUUAUUUUUUAAUCUAUUUUACCUUUUUAUUAAAUAUUAUUAAUUUUUUUAAUACUUAAAUAAAUUAAGUAAUUAAUUAGGGGUAAAAUAGUAAAAUUAUGGUUGAAGCAUCUGAAGCAGACAUGUUAUAAAUGUUUAUUUUAUUUUUUAUUAAAUAUUAUUAAUUUUCUAAUACGUAAAUGCUAUAUAAUAAUUAAUUAGGGGUGAUAUGGUAAAAUCACGGAGCAAGCAGACAAGUUGACAAAGAGGUGUCUACUUUACCACACUUCUAUAUAGUACUGACAAUGUAAAUUAUUUUUUGUCCCAAUUUAUGUGACACAAAUAAAAUUUAGAUAAUCAAUUAUAUUUUUAAUAUACUUUUUAGUAAAAUUACGGUUGAAGCAGCUGAAGCAAACAUGUUAUAAAUGUCUAUUUUAUUUUUUAUUAAAUAUUAUUAAUUUUCUAAUACGUAAAUGCUAUAUAAUAAUUAAUUAGGGGUGAUAUGGUAAAAUCACGGAGCAAGCAGGUAAGUUGACAAAGAGGUGUCUACUUUACCACACUUCUAUAUAGUACUAACAAUGUAUAUUAUUUUUUGUCCCAAUUUAUGUGACACAAAUAAAAUUUAGAUAAUCAAUUAUAUUUUUAAUAUAUUUUUUUUAGAUAUUUUAAGUUGUUAGCUAUUAUAAUUUAUAACACUUUUUUGACCUUGAAAUUUACUAUUUUAAGUUAUUAGUAAUUUAUAAUACUCUCCUUCUCCAAACUUUUGUGGCAUUGAUAGUUAAUUAUAUUUUAAAAAUAAUAUAAGUUUUUAAUAAUUGUUAUUUAUAAUAAUUUUUUUUCUAUUUCAAUUUAAGUGACACAUAUAAUUUCGACAGUCAAUCAAAUAUCACGAUUGAAAUAGUGAAACAUGUAUUAAAUUCCUCAUAAUAACUUAUUAGAAAUGCUAUAGCAAAAUUACUAUAAAAAAUAAUUGUGAAAAAAAUUUAAGUGAGCCUCAUAUAAGAUGUCAAGUUAAUUUAAAAUAUCAAUAGUUAUUUUUUUUUCUAUUUUAUAUUUUUUAUUAAAUAUUAUUAAUUUUUUAAUACUUAAAUGAUUUAGGAGUGAAAUAGUAAAAUUACAGUUGAAGGAGCAGAAGUAGACAUCUCAUAAAUGUCUAUUUUGUUUUAUAUUAAAUAUUAUUAAUUUUUUAAUACAUAAAUAACAUAUAAUAAUUAAUUAGGGAUGAUAUAGUAAAAUCACGAAGCAAGCAGGCAUGACGACCUUCACCUGCUUCCUUCACUCUUCUAUCUAUUAGACUAGAUAGCGAGGGGUCCGUGCUAGAUAUAUAUAAUUUUUGGUCUCAAUUUAUGUGAUACAAAUAAGAUUUAGAUAAUCAAUUAUAUUUUUAAUAUGUUUUUUUUUUUUUAAGAUGAAAGCUAUUAUAAUUUAUAAUACUUUUUCGGCAUUGUGAUUUACUAUUUUAAGGUCUUAGCUAUUAUAAUUUAUAAUACUCUCGUUGUUCAAAGUUUUAUGGUAUUUAUAGUCAAUUUAUAUUUAAAAGUAAUUUAAAUUUUUAGUUAUCGGGAUUUAUAAUACCUUAUCUUCUAUUCCAAUUUAAGCGGCACAGAUAUAAUUUCGAGAGUCAACCAAAUAUCACAAUUGAAGUAGCGAAAUAGGCAUGUCUUGAAUGACUCAUAACUACUAAUUAGAAGUGAUAUAGCAAAAUUAUUAUAAAAAUACUUGUGAAAAAAAAUUAAGUGAGCCUUAUAUUUAAAUUAAUUUAAAACAUCAAGAGUUAAUUUAUCAUUUUAUGUUGAUUUUAUUUUUUUAAUUAAAUAUUAUUAAUUUUUUAAUACUUAGAUGACUUAUAAUAAUUAAUUAGAGGUGAUUGUAAUGCCCCGAAUCUGGUACCCGGAAUGCUACACAGUACUCAUGACCCCGAAGGACCAUAAGCUAACCCAUGACUGAUAUAUGUAACUGAGCACUGAAUAAUAUACUGUAAAUAUGUAGAAUAUAAGCUGUAAGGACAUAAGGUUCAAAACUGAACUAAUACUGAAUAUAAAACAGUCUGUAAUGGGGUAUAACAAUACCCAAAACUGAAAUAAACUGUCUGAAACAUGCUGUAGUCUGAACGCCUCUAAAACUGACUGGAAACUGUGAAGUUGAUGGGACAUGUCCCCAACUAACUCUAAACUACUGAAAUAAUAAAAUAAUUAUGCUAUCCUCGAAUGAUGAGAACUCACUGCUAGUCUGGUUGCUGAACGUCUGAUCUACUAAGGAUGCUCAGGAGCUCGUGCUUCUAAACUUAUGGUAUAAAACACCAUAACACAAAUGCGUCAGUACAAUUGAAUGUACUGGUAUACAAGUAAUGUAAGCUGAAUGCAAGGGUUCAUAUGCAUGAACAAUAAUAACUGACUGAUGACACAAACAUGAAUGUGUGAGAAAUACAUGCAUAAAUACAUAAACUAGAACUAGGGUCGUGACAAUACUAAAUACUGAUGUACUAACAUCUGAGUUUACUAAUACCGGGAUACUGAAUAUCUGAGUCUAUUGAUGCUAUGAAUUACGGAGUUUACAGGUAACCAAUAUCUGAGGUUACUGGUACUAUAUUACUGAUAACUGAUAACUGAGUAUACUGAUACUGAAAAACUAUCUGAGUUCUUUACUGGACUGGGUGACUGUAUCUGACAGUUUUGAAUCUAAAGAACUAUCUGAGUUCUAGACUAAACUGGAUGACUGUAUCUGACAGUCCUGAUUCUGAUGGAACUAGCUGAGUUCCAUACUGAGCUGAGCGACUAUAUCUGACAGUCCUGAUGUCUGUAGAACUGAAUUAAGUUCUAUUACUGAGACUGAAUUUGAAACUAAUAUUGUGGGAGGUAAUCAUUUAACCCGACAUACCCUGAAUCUGAACUGGUGGGGUCCAACCUGUAACCCUAGCUGGAAGGGUGUCAGUACCGUACCACGGGUAAAGAUAAACUAUGAGUAAACCCUCUCUGACAGGGAGCUCUUCCGUCAACCCCUCCUGUAAGGAAAACUCAAAGGAGAUGAAUAGUCCCUAGACUCGUAGGGGUACAUCUCGACCUACGUUGGCUAUGUAGUUCUGGAACACAGGGAUUGCUACUAAGGAUCACACCUUCUACAGGCUAACAGGUUAGCCCUCAUCCCUGGAUUCACUCGGCCCAACUGAAUAGACACUGAACUGAUUUUCGUAGUUACACUAGGCAUGACUGAGCUGUUACUGAUGGUACAGUUUUACUGAACUGAACUAAGUUCACUGAGUUUCAUUGAAUGAUGGAAUACUACUAAAUUCUGUCAACUGACAGAAUGCUACUGAGUCCUGCUAGCUGACUGAGUUACUGAGGUAUGAACUGAAUACUACUGAAAUCUGAUAACUGAUUGAGAUUACAGAGAUUACUAAGGUUACUGAGAUCACUGAGAUUACUGGAGCGAUACUGAAUUUACUAAAUUUUCCUAAGUCACAUGACUGACUGAGUUUUAUUGAUCCUAGCUUGAUUGUGAAUAUCAUGAAAACUGAUACUGGCUCUAGGUACAUAGCUAAAUUAUCGGGUACAAGUACCCCUAAGACUCGAUAGCAUAAUAAGUAAAUCAUGGCACAAGCUUAAAGGCUCAGCAGUGGCUACAUGUUUAUCAUUCAUUUAUUUAGACAUUUCAACAACCACUUGAGAUGCAUUACUUGUACAUGAAUGGGGAAUACGUAUUAGCAUACUAUAACAUGACAUUAUUUCAUUCUCAUAAACAAUUUGUCAAACACUUGCAUGAUACAACUUGCACAUAAUGAGCUUAACAUGAUUUCUUUCACUUAUUAACUCACAUGAGCAAUUCAUCAAGCACUUGGUGAGCAUAACAUAUGCACAUAACCCUAUACAACAAAUAAGCAUCAUAAUUCACAUUCCCAUUGACAAAUUUUAAGAGUUUAACAUGGUUUCACAUGAUACUACACAUACAUCACUUUACUUCACAUAGAUAUUGUCAUUAAAUCAUGAACUAGAGAAUACAUUAACAUAAUAGUCAUGAACACAAUCAAACUAACUCAUGAAAUUCAUCAAAAAUAUUAUCUUGAGUUCUUGAAAAGGUUUCUUAGACUCUAAGGGUGGAAUAAACCCCUGGAUAAACACUUGACAUACCUUAGUUGGUAAAUUCUUGAAGGUUGAUGGUGGAAUCCCUUGAAAAUUGAGUCUUGGAUUGAUAGCUCUAGGGUUUUAUUCUUGAGGAUUUUGUGAAUAAUGAAUAGGAUUAGCCAAAAGUGGGAUAAAUUUCAUGUUAUGAGGGCUGAAGGGCAUGAGAAAAAAACUGAAAUAACUCUGAGGACGCAUCUUUUAAAUGACCGAGAACUGGGCACCAGCGCUAUUAGUAACGUGGCGCAUCAUGGCAUCGAUGCAAUAGUCGAUUUGUUACGCCAUCAUUGCGUCGAGCCUCAGUACUUUGACCUUGGAAACCUGCUACAAUAUCAACCAACGCGAUUGGCGAUGCGGUGCACCAAGAUCGCGUUGAAUCACUAUUUUUGGAUUUAGAAAAUGGUCUAAAAGAGUUUUGAAAAAUCUGAAACUUUUUCAAGAACACCUAUUGACCUUCCUGGUCAUAAAUUAGUAAGAAUACGAAUCAUUAAAGGACAUUAAAGUCAUUUAAUUAGAUUGCAAACUUUUGAAGGCUAAAAUAAACUAAGUUUGGAAACUUAGCUAGAACUUUUUAAGUAUGGAACCCCCUUAACAAGCAUAAAUGGACUGAACUAAGCUUAGAAUUUUGUGGGGUCUUAUAAUAUCUUCCCCUUGAGAAUAUUCAUCCUCAAAUGAGACUGACUAGAUGGGGAAAAUAAUAAGCUGAAGUACAUGCUUAACAUAAACAACUGAAACAGGAGUACAUGACUGACCUUACUGAUUUGCUGAGAUUUAUUCUGAAUAUGCAUAUCUGAUGCAUGAUUUCAUGACUGGCAUGACUGAUAAGAUGAAUAUAUUAUAAUGAACAUGCAUAUCUGAUUAUGAAUAUAUGACUGAUCUGACACAUAAAUGCAUGACUGGAUAUGCAAUGGUAAUUGAUACCAAGUUUAUAAUGGAAAUUUGAGCAUGAAACUGGAUAAGUUCAAGGGAGACUGUUUUCUUAAACUGAAAAUGCUAAUGAGCCUAAAAUUAAUUAUUAAAUAUGCAUAAGCAUAAACACGCAAAUAUAACUGAGUCUAGAACGUGAUACAUGAGCUAGAUAUCAUGAUCUGAACUGAGUACCUUGAAUACGUGGCUUACGGUUGAGAUCGAAGUUUGAGGGUCAACUCAUGAGUACUCCUUACCCCAAACUAGAUUCAUUAUGAAAAGAGAGAGCUACACAUUUAUGUCAUAAAGGUUCACGGAAUUAUAGUGUAUCUCUUCCUUGGGACACUAUGUCCCUUGAAAAAUACUGGGAUGACUUUGCUGAGAUAUUAAGAAAAAUUGAGGCGAUGCACAAGGCACCUAAAAACUAAAUCGUGACUGAUUAUCAAGGAUCUGAAACUGAGGAAUGAUACAUGAACUGGGUUGAACACUUAACUACCUGGUUAGUCCAUCUUAGAAUGAUCACAUUCCUGAGACUCUGGAUAGUGCGACUAGAAGGAAAGAUGGGAAACCAGACCAUCUAAACUUAUCUGUCUGGCUGCUAAACUGAAUUACUGGCUGCUUAACUAACUCAUACUGGAAACUUGUACUCGACUGAAGCGUUCGUAUGACGCUCUCUUUCUGUAGAGUUCUAGUGACUGUAGGAGAAAGUAAAUCUUGGCCUGAUCUGAGCAGGACAUCAGAAUAGGAGAUCACUACAUGGCUGGGAUUCUUGUAUUAGGAGACAAGUCCUAUGAAACAUCAUCUAAGAUAAAGUGACUAAGCCUUAUGCACUGCACUGAGACUACUGAAAAGAUGAAUGCAUAAAUAUACUAACUUAUCUGAUUAACUGAAUGACUGAUAACUGACUACUGGGUCUGUAAGGCUGAAUUGUACUUAGCUUAAAAGGCUGGACUUAGACUAUAGAGUAUUAUAAAUAAAAGGUAAUGACUGACUGGGUAACGCGAGGUAACUGAGUAUGAAUGAGUGAAAACUGUAUUACCUUAAGAACAUAAGACCAAACAUCCAAUAUAAUUCGAAAAUAUUCUGUAAACUGAGGUACUGAAAUACUAAUAACUAAGUAACUGAUGGCCAUAUGCUAUGGUCGGGUAAUCCCAAAAGUGAACUAUGUUUAUGAUCUGACUGGACUAGGACUGGGACUGAGAUUGUAGCUAAGAUGGUAAUUGAGACUGUAACCGUAACUAAGACUGUAAUUGGGACUGAAUGCUGGUUCCUGAUAAUUAAGGGUUAGACUGUUACUGAAGUACUGAAUCUUUAUGGCUAAAUAACUGAUAAUUGAAGGCCAUGGUUCUGUAGGACUAUCUGAGUCCUUUACUGAAUACUGAUUACUGAAUGACGCUGUAACUGAGGGCUGAGGGACAAAACAUCAACACCACGGAUUCACCAAGGGGUCUAAACUGUCGAUAUACAUGACAUAGUUUAAUUUUUUUUAACUGAUCAUUAAGAGCAUAGCAUGAGUCAUGAGUUACAUGACCUGAGUCUGGAAUUUUUGUAUUUAUGGGACAUGAUUUGUAACACUGAGUGAACUGGGAUUCCUCAUACUAGGAACUUGAAAUGCACACAAUUCUAUGGAAAGUGUGAAUAUAUGCUGGGUUCACGAAACUGUGACGUGAUACAUGUGUAAGUAUCGUGAUGGCUAAAGUACAAAACUUUGCACUGAGAUAGGAAUGGGGCGGGAAUCAUCUCUCCUUACUGAUUUCCUACCCAUACUGGUAUUACUACUAGAACAUGAAGGCCUGGCUUUCUGAGGUAUCAUAACCGGGCAGUUCCUGUAUACCUGUCGGGCUAUGAUAGACUGACCCACUGGGUGAAGACUGAGAAAGGUCCUGUUAACAUCUAGUCUGACCUUAAAUUAACUAGUAUGUAAAAAGUUAUAAAAGAAAAAGAAGCUCCUGAAUCUGAAGAAGUGUAAACAUGUAAAUAAGAAAUCUGUAACAUACCAGUGGUUGCAUCAGGAGGACUUUCUUGAUUGUGUCGGGACUAAAGUGCAUAGAGUCUAUUUGGGCGUUGCCCACUGAUAGCGCUGGAAUUGGCACCUUCCUGAUUUGGGCGACCAGACUGAGCUGAAGGAUGGCCGUGCUGACUUCGUGGACCGGGUUUAAAACAGUCUUGAACCUUGUGACCUGACUAGCCACAUCCAAAACACACAUUACUACCUGCUCUAUACAUACUCUUAUGAUACUUACCAUAUUCUUUGCAAAGCGGAUGAGUACAAAUAACGCUUGCACUACCCUUGGUUUUGAAGCUUGUCACCCCAUCCCUAUGGUCAUUUUUGAACUUUGGUACUGGUUCACUAGAUGAAGAGGGAACUGGAACUGAAAGCUUCUAACUAUACUGAGCAUGGUUACCACCCUGCGACCCUGGCUGAUAAAAAGUAUAACUACCUGUUCUAGCUCUCUUAUUCUCUCUUUCCUUCUUCUUAAGUUUUUGCUCUUCAAUCUGUUGAGCAUGGACCAUCAGUCUAGAUAUGUCCAUCUCCUUAAUCAACAUUGCAGUCCUACACUUCUUAACUACUCUACCUGAAACCCCAGACACAAACUUGAUCAUUCUGGACCUAUAGUCUGCUACUAUAUGGAGAGCAUACCUAGCUAACUGAGUGAACUUGGGGGAGUAUUCUUUCACACUCAUGCUACCUUGUCUGAGAUUGAUGAACUCUAACACUUUGGCUUCUUUCUACUCUAGGGGAAAGAAUCUAUCUAGGAAGGCCGUAGCAAACUCUUUCUAUUCUAUGGGCCCUGCAUCUGUACCUCUGUCUACCUUCCACUGUUUAAACCACGUAUGGGCUACAUCUUGUAGAUGAUAGGCGGCUAACUCGAGACUCUCACUGGGAGUCACUCCCAUGAUAUCUGUGAAUUUCUGAACCUGGUCGAAGAACUCCUAUAGAUCCUUUUCAAACUUAGAACUAGAGAAUAGGGAAGGAUUAAUUUGGGUGAAGUCCCAAAUCCUGGCUGCAACUGAAUUAGCCACUGGGUUGGCUGGAAUAACAGUUGGCCAUUCAUUCUGAGCUGUGACUGAAUUGGCUAGAGUAGUGAAUGCAGUCCUAAAUGGGAAACAUGUUCGUCCAGGGGAUCUUUCUGAACGGGCUGAGGUGAUGACUAAUUAUCAGUUCUUCUUUCGCUAGCCUCUUUGGGAGGCAUGUUCAGUAAAUAAAAGAAAGAGAGGAUUAGACUGAGAGUUAAAUUUGAGCUCAUGCUCACUAGCACGACUGAAUACUGAAAGAGAGAAAACUAUUCCUAAAAUAUCUCACAGUCUCCUGUUCAUAAGUGUGGUGCACAACACACCCAUGCACAAGACUCUACUUGAUGUGGAUUUUCAGACUUCCUAGGACACUGUUGAACCUUAUUCUCUGAUACCAAGUUUGUAACACCCCGAAUAUGGUACCCAAAAUGCUACACGAUGCUCAUGACCCCGAAGGACCACAAGCUAACCCAUGACUAAUAUCUAUAACUGAGCACUGAAUAAUAUACUAUAAAUAUUCAGAAUAUAAGCUAUAAGGCCAUAUUGUUCAAAACUGAACUAAUACUGAAUAUAAAACAAUGUCUGUAAUGGGGUAUAACAAUACCCAAAACUGAAAUAAACUGUCUGAAACAUGAUGUAGUCUAAAUGCCUCUAAAACUGACUGAAAACUGUGGAGUUGAUAGGACAUGUCCCCAACUAACUCUGAACUAUUAAAAUAAUAAAGUAAUAAAAUAAUCAUGAUAUUCUCGAAUGAUGAGGACUCACUGCUAGUCUGGCUGCUGAACGUCUGAUCUACUAAGGAUGCUCAGGAGCUCAUAUUUCUAAACCUAUGGUAUAAAACACCAUAGUACAAAUACGUCAGUACAAUUGAUUUGUACUAGUAUGCAAGUGAGGUAAGUUGAAUGCAAGGGUUCAUAUGCAUGAACAAUAAUAACUGACUGAUGACAUGAACAUGAACGCGUGAGAAAUACAUGCAUAAAUACAUAAACUGGAACUGGGGUCAUGACAAUACUGAAUAAUGAUGUACUGACAUUUGACUUUACUAAUACUAGGAUACUGAAUAACUGAGUCUAUUGAUGAUAUAAAUUACGAAGUUUAUAGGAAACCGAUAUCUGAGGUUACUAGUACUAUAUUACUAAUAACAGAUAACUAAGUAUACUGAUACUGAAAAACUAUUUGAGUUCUUUACUGGACUGGGUGACUGUAUCUGACAGUUUUGAAUCUAAAGAACUAUCUGAGUUCUAGACUAAACUGGAUGACUGUAUCUGAUAGUCCUGAUUUUGAUGAAACUAGCUGAAUUCCAUACUGAGCUGAGCGACUAUAUCUGACAGUCCUAAUAUCUGUAGAACUAAGCUGAGUUUUAUUACUCAGACUGAAUCUAAAAAUGAGACCGUAGGAGGUAAUCAUCUAACCGACAUACCCCGAAUAUGAACUGGUGGGGUCCAACCUGGAACCCCAACUGGAAGGGUGUCAGUACCAUGCCACGGGUAAAGACAAGCUGUAAGUAAACCCUCUCUGAUAGGGAGCUCUUUCGUCAACCCAACCUGUAAGGAAAACUCAAAGGAGAUGAACAUUCCAUACACUCGUAGGUUAUAUCUCGACCUACGCUGGCUACGUAGUUCUGGAAUGCAGGGAUUGCUACUAAGGAUCACACCCUUUACUGCCUAACAGGUGAGACCUCAUCCCUGGAUUUACUCAGUGCUGAAUCUUACUCCCAACUGAAUAGAAACUGAACUGAUUUUCCUAGUUCACACUAGGCAUAAUUGAGUUGUUACUGAUGGUACAAUUUUACUGAACUAAACUGAGUUCACUGAGUUUCGUUGAAUGAUGGAAUACUACUGAAUUCUAUCAACUGACAGAAUACUACUGAGUUCUGCUAGCUAACUGAGUUACUGAGGUCUGAACUAAAUAUUACUGAGAUCAAAUAACUGACUGAGAUUACAGAUAUUACUGAGAUCACUGAGAUUACUAGACUAAUACUGAAUUUACUUAAUUUCCUGAAUUAUAUGCUUGACUGAGUUUUACUGAUCAUGGCUUGACUGUGAGUAUCAUGAAAACUGACACUGGCUCUAGGCACAUAGCUAAAUUGUCGGGUACAAGUAUCCCCAGGACUCAAUAGCAUAAUAAAUAAAUCAUGGCACAAGAUUAAAAGCUCAACAGUGGCUACAUGUUUAUCAUUCAUUCAUUUAGACAUUUCAACAACCACUUGAGAUGCAUUACUUGUACAUGAAUGGGGAAUACGUAUCAGCAUACUAUAACAUGGCAUUAUUUCAUUCUCAUAAAUAAUUUGUGAAACACUUGUAUGAUACAACUUGCACAUAAUGAACAUGGCAUGAUUUCUUUCACUUAUUAACUCACAUAAGCAAUUCAUCAAACACUUGGUGAGCAUAAUAUAUGCACAUAACCCUAUACAACAAAUAAGCAUCAUAAUUCAUAUUUCCAUUGACAAUUUCAAGGGUUUAACAUGGUUUCACAUGAUACUACACAUAUAUCACUUUACUUCACAUAGAUACUGUUAUUAAAUCAUGAACUAGAGAACCCAUUAACAUAAUAGUCAUGAACACAAUCAAACUAAAUCAUGAAAUUUAUCAAAAAUAUUAUCUUGAGUUCUUGAAAAGGUUUCUUAGACUCCAAGGGUGGAAGAAACCCUUGAAUGAACACUUGACAUACCUUAGUUGGUGAAUUCUUGAAGGUCGAUGGUGGAAUCUCUUGGAAAUUGAGUCUUGAAUUGAUAGCCCUAGGGUUUUGUUCUUGAGGAUUUUGUGAAUAAUGAAUAGGAUUAGCCAAAAAAGGGCUAAAUUUCGUGUUAUGAGGGCUGAAGGACAUGGGAAAAAGACUGAAAUAACCCUGAGGACACGACUUUUAAAAGACUGAGAACUGGACACCGACGCUAUUAGCGACAUGGCGCGUUAUGGCAUCGACGCGAUAGUCGAUGCGUCGCGCCAUCAUCGCAUCGAGCCUCAGUACUUUAACCCUGAUAACCUGCAACAAUAUCAACCAACGCGAUUGGCGACGCGGCGCGCCAAGAUUGCAUUGGUCCACUAUUUUGGGAUUUCAAACGUGGUCUAAAAGAGUUUCGAAAAAUCCAAACUUGUCUGGAAAGACAUAUUGACCUUCCUGGUCAUGAAUUAGCAAGAAUGUGGACCAUUAAAGGACAUUAAAGUCACGAAAUGGGACUGGGAACUUUCGAAGGCUAAAAUAAACUGUCUGGAAACUUAUCUAGAACCUUAUAAGUAUGAGACCCCCUUGACAAGCAUAAAUGGACUGAAUUAAGCUUAGGAUUUUACGGGGUCUUACAGUGAUAUAGUAAAAUUAUGGUUGAAGGCUAAAGCAGACAUGCCAUAAAUGUCUAUUUCACUUUUUUUUAUUAAAUAUUAUUAAUUUUUUAAUCCUUAGAUGACUUACAAUAAUUAAUUAGAGGUAAUAUAGUAAAAUUACGGUUUAAGGCUGAAGUAGACAUGUCAUAAAUGUCCAAUUUCACUUUUUUUAAUUAAAUAUUAUUAAGUUUUAAUACAUAAAUAACACAAAUAAUUAAUUAAGAAUGAUAUAGUAAAAUUACGAAACAAUCAAACAGCUGAAAGCAAGCACGGCAAUCGUCUACUGCCAACUUAAGCUGUCCACGCUUAUAUAUAAUAGUAAAAAGUACUUUUAAUUCAAAUUCUAUUUUAUGGUAAGGUGGUAUGUCAAUUACUUACAAUUCAAAAUUCUAUUUAUGGUACUGUGGUAUUUGACGUGGCAUGUUUCCAUUGAGGUACUGUUGAGGCUUAUGAAGGAAUCACAUAUGAAUUUCUAAAAUUAUCACAAAUGGCUAUUUCCUACUUCACCAGUCGUUGCAUUUUUGCAGAAAAUCGUAGAACUGAAUGAUGAUAUUCAUUGAAUUUUACUUGAUUUAAUUUGUGUUUAUUAAGAAUUGUUUAUAUAUGUUAAGAAAAACCAUCAACAUUAAUUCUCCUUUUCAUAUAUUUUAGGAACCUAUAUUAAUUAAGCUUUCAAUAUUUUUAGGAGUUUAUAUUAAUUUUUGUAAUAUAUAUCUUACAUAUAUUUUCGAACCUCCUUCAUUUUUUUUCCAUAUAGUUUAGGAGUCAAAAUUAUAAAAAUAAUUAAAUAAAAAUUUGAAAAAAAAUUUAAAAUGGUAAUUUUAUUUAUUGUCGGAUAUUUUAAUGAAGGACAAAAAGUUUAAAGAAUAUAAUUUUUGACUCAUAUAUGAGUAGUAUUAUUUUCCAUAUGUAUUUUUUUUUUUUUGGCUUUCCAUCUGAUGUCCGGUACCCGCACUGAAACCCGACUAAUUUGAAUUUACGCUACGUAGAGCCCCAUUCGGGGGGAAGCGCUCCCUAACAGAGUUUUCUCCGUACCAGCAUAUGUAUUGUUACUCCAAUAGUCUUGCGGCAGUUUUUAUUAACCAAUUUUAAUAAAAUGAAACUUAGUACCAUAAUCCUUUAUCGUGGAAUUAUUUUACAUAUGAAGUUUAGAAAUGGAAAAGUUUAAAAUAGGUUACAAAUUUCUAAAAAUCAGGGAAAAAAGAAUCUCGUUUUAGUUGAUUUUGAAAUCUUAAAUAUUUGAUUAUUAAUUAAAAUAGUUAUUGCUAAAUAAAUAUUAGGCAAAUGGUAAAAAAAUAAUUUUAUCUAAAGGAGAGUCUUUUAAUGAAGUCUUUUAAUAAGUUUCUCCACACUUUUAAUGUAUUAUAUAGAUUAUAAAUUAUAGAUAGAUUACUAAUACAAAAUAAUUUUAACACAAACAUGAACCUAUUAAUUGACAAAUUUGUCCCUCAAAAUACUUGAGCGGCCCUUUUCCCACCAUAAUUGCAAUUCCAAAUUCCUUUUUCCCACCACACAAGUCGUCUCUCUAGCUUCUUUGUACUUCCCAUAGAAAAGGUGUUUCUUCACAUCUUCUUCCUUCUACAACACCAUCUAAAACUUCCUCUUUGUUCAAUCGAUUAUCACUAGCCUCCCUCUCUACAAUCACAAACAGUUGCAUCUGCUUUAAAAGAGAGUGUACAACGAAGGAUAUUUCAGUAAAUAUACAUUUUUUGUAAAAUUUAUGUAAAUAUAUAUUAUUUUUAAUGUAUCAAAUCAAAGAAUGUGCAAGAAAUAGUACUUGCAUAACUAAUAUCAGCAUUAUUAAUACUUGCAUUUGUAAUUCAAAUAUUACUUAUAUACCUUAUAUUAUAUUUAUACACUCUACCAAAUGCCCCUUAGUGUUUGACCAUAAGAAGUAUUUCACUUUAAUGAAAAUUAUUUUGGAAAAAUGAAAACAAGUGAAAUAUAUUUUCACCUUUUUCACGUCUAUUUCUCUCACAAAUUUCAAAAACAACUUCAAAUUUAUAUUCAUCACUAAAAACAACAUCAAUUAUAACUUGAACUCAGACUCCAACUCCGAAAAAUUAUUAUUUUCAUGGUCAAACAGGACCUAAAUUUUGAUGACUAUUUUGAUGGUCAAGGUUAAAGCCACUUAAAAUAAAGGUUAAAUUAAUUGGUAACUGGAUUAAUAUUUUAUAAACUUUUUAAUCUUUUUAAAAUACAAAACAACCCAACUCAUUUAAUUCCACAAUAUAAAUAAUCCAAAAUCAUUUUUCACAAAAAUCAAAACCUCUCCCAAAACCAUUCUCUUCUUCUCAAACGUCUCAUCUCUCUCUCUCUCUCUCUCUCUCUCUCUCUCUCUUUCUCUCAAUAAUUGUUGCCCUUAUUUCACAACAGAUUGACGUGACUAGCCACCUCCGAGGACUUUAAUCUCUGGCAAGCUCAAUUUUAUUUCUUCAUCACUCCUUUCAUUCUAACUGUCAAUUUCUGUCUUCUCAAGUAAAGCCUUUAUAUAUAUAUAUAUAUUAUAUAUAUAUAUAUAUUCAAAAUAUUAAGGGUUUUGAAUUAAUGACCAAAAAAAGAACUAAGGUGUGUUCUCUUUAAAGUAUAGGUUAACAAUUUUUGAAAUUUUAUAAUAACAUGGAUUUCACGCAAAUUGUGAUUUGCGAUUUUAUCUUCAAAUUGAAUAUUGUAUUAAAUUGAAUAUUCUAUUAAAUAAAAGUAAUUUAUCAUUAAAGUUUCCUCCCGUGAUAUGAGUUACUACCCCUUGAUCACUUACACUACCCCAAACAUCUGACUGCAUUUUUCAACUGAAAUGGAAUAUUACUACCAAAAUUGAAUUGUACAUCCAGAAUAGUCCUAAGAAGACACCAUCCCAGGUCGAUACUAUACUUAAAAAAGAAGGAGAAAUUUGAGAAAUUCUAAUUUUUGGUAUUUUAUUCUCUUAAUAUGAAACUUAAAUUUUAAAUUUUUUGAAGAAAUUUGUUGUGACAACAUUCAACAACUGUUGAGAUUAUACCAUAGAUUUUAGUGAACACUUGCUUGUAAUUAUAUUCUAUGUUAUUAAAUGGAUUCAAAAUAUUAGAAUUCUCAACAGAAUGUUGUUUGUUUUGGUUAAUAAUUAUCUACUCUUCAAAGUUAAGUAGUCCCAAGUUAGUGAGGUUAAUCAAUUUGUGAUAUUUGUUCUCUCUUAACAUUUGAUAUGAUUAUUGUAUUGUAAAUAUUGGUGUUUUUGGUGUUAUUAUAUUAUAUAAUUAUAAAUGUUGGUAUUUUUUGGGGCUGUUGUAUUAUAAAAUUAUAAAUAUUGAUGUUAUUGGUGUCGUUGUAUUGUAGAUAUUGGUGUUGUUGGUGUAGUUCUUGAACAUUGUGGUUCAAGUGGUGAUAUUUGUGACUUCUUAUUGGUGUUGUUGGUGUUUUUGAACAUUAGAGAAUAGUGUUGAUAGAGUUUUGUUGUUUUCCUCUAUUGGUGUUGAUGUUUUAUUUUGCAAGUGUUUUGAUUAUUCCCAAGGAUGACUUAUCUGUUAUAAUAGAUUAGCCACAUGUUGGACAUAAAUAAAACAGUGUGAUAAAACUAUUGUUAAUAUCGUAACAAAUGUUUAAUAUGUUCUAGCAUAUUAAGAAUCUAUUGAAAUAUAUUAAGCAUCUGUUGGGAACAACCAUACCAUCUGCUACAAAAUAGAAUAUAGAUCAUGAUUUACUGUUAUGAUGUUUCCAACAGAUGGGUAAUAUAUUGCAACAGAUAAGUCAUUUGUUAGGAACAUAUUAUUCAUUUGUUGAAAAAAUAUUAUAAUAGAUUUGUUGUUUUAAUUGCCUUCAACAGAUGAGUGAUCUGUCGCAGCAGAUAAGUCUUCUGUUAAAAGAAAUCAAAAUAAUAUCAAAACUGUUUUUAUUUCUUCCAGUAGAUCACUUAUUAUUUGUUGAAAAUAUUAUUUUAUUAUAUUGUAUUGGUUAAAUUCAUUGCUAUUCUUUUUAAUAAUACAAUAAAUCAAUUAUAAUUUUUUUUCUUAUUUAUAGAUAAAAUGGCUCACAGAAUAAAAAAAGUAAAAGUGAAUCAACUUCAAGGAGAUCAACUAAAAAAGAUAAAUCACAAACAGUAUUUGAAACACCCUGAAUUUUUCCCCACAGAAAAUUCUUGAGCUUUGAGCUCAUUGUCCUAGUAACGACUCAUUAUACAAGCCGUAUGGUGUGGGUACGGGUUAGGUGACCCUAGUCGUUAGGUGUCCGGUGGAUGGUGGUUAGGUUUUCUGGCUUGGUUACGACUUGGUGGUAUGAGUCAUUAGGGGUAGUGACGAGUCUUUAGGACGAUCCUUAAUCAAAUUAGUAACUUAGUGGCUUGACUUGACUCUAAGUAUGAGUGGCUCACUAAGAGCCAUGAGGAUAGGUCACGAGUGGUAGCGUUAAGUCGUAUGUUGUCCAGUGUCUAAUUCUUUGAGUUUUGUCUUAGAUACGACUAAACCACAUGAGUCGUAUGAUCUGGUCAUGAGUGGGAUCAUGGAGUUGUAUGAUGGCAGUGUAUGGGUGUUCAACUCAUUAUCUUGGUGACGAUUCAAGGGUACAGGUCGUAUGUUGUGGUCACGAUUCAAGGGGUAGACUCGUAACCACAUGCGACCUUUUUAUAGUUUUUAAGUUGAGGACAUUCUGGACAUUUCCCACUUUGAGUCCCUUUGAUACCAUGACUUAAAAUAUCCUUUGGGACUUCAUUAACACAUCAUUCCUAGUAAAACACUCUCAAAUUCUCUCUUAAACUCUCUGUUCGAACAAAAUCUAGGGUUUCAACAAGUAAAUCAAUUAAGGCUCUCAAAGGUGAUUUCUCUCCGUAUUCCUUAGUGUCUAAGGCAUGUUACUCCUCCCUCAUUAUUAUUUUACUUAAAGAAUAUGUUUUCAUGUAUGAUUUUCAUAGUAUUGCUAUGAUUUUGAAAUAAAGGUUGAGAUUUUUUACUGUUCAUGAAUGAAUGUUGUUUCUUAUGAUUUAAUUAUGGUUUUUCUUAUUUUAAUUAUGGUUUAGAACAUAUGGUUGUAUGGGUAUGGUGGUUGAACUUGAUAAUGGUAAAUUGCCUUAAACUCGUGACUCUUUAAGUGGUUAUAAACCUAACCUUAUGUUUUAAAACUGGUUAGUAGUUUCCCCAAAGUGUUUGGUUUGACUAUUUCCUGAAACUAAUACAUGAAAUAAAAUAAAUGGUUAAGGAUGAUUUUGAAAACCUUGUGGGGUACAAAGGAAUUCCCUAAGUGAUUUUAAUAAUGGAGUCUGCGAAGUACACGAGAAUUCCCUAAGUGUUGGCUGCUGACAUUGCUUACAAGCUAUAGUCGGUAUGACGUACCACAUUAUAAUGCCUUAAUAAUUGACUUCUGGAAUUGGUGGUCUGGUUAUGUGCUAAAUAUUUUAAUUGAACAAUAGUAAGGAUUGUGAUAGCUAGCUGUGAAGGUGUGAGUCUAAAGGACGGACACUAGAAACUCGUGAUUGCCAUAAUGAGAUUUGGUCUUGAUGAUCUAUGCGCAUGGUUCAGACUAUUGAUAUGAUUGUAUCUUGGUUUGAUGUGGGGUUGAGUCAUUCCCUGGUCUUCCUUGAUACAUUAGCUGGUUCGUGCGGCUAACACGUAUCGUGGGUGAAUUUUUAUGACGGUUGAGCUACACAAUCCAGAUUAAUAUUUUAAAUGCAUGCAAAACCUUAUUCCCCUAUCCCGAAACAAUAUAUAUAUAUAUAUGUGAGUGUGUGUGUGUAUAUGUGAUUUUAUAUGGUUAUGUGAUUUCGUUUUGAAUGAUGACAUUAUUUUAUCUAUAUCCUUGAGGUACAUGCUAGCUUUCACUCUGCUAACCGUCUUCGAAUGCUGUAUCCCCACGUGAUGCAGGAAGCAGCCAUACUAUCAUUUCUCCUACUCAGUGACUUGGAUUCGGGGACAACUCUUGAGUUAAAUUGAAGUGCUGAGCUUCCAUACUCUGGAAGACCCCAUUUCAUGCUAUGAACUUCUUUUCAUUAUUAUCAUUUCUUUGGUUUUAAUUUUGGCUAUGGUUGGGGGCAUGUCCCGAUCAGAUAUUUCUUAAUUCUGGUUAAAGACUUUAUUGGACUACUAUGGACAUGGACGGUGUUGAUAUUAGUGUUAAUAUUGGUAUUGGUAUUGGUCAGAUAUUUGGUUGUGACUGUUUGGUCAUGGUUAUAACUUACUUUGUUGUCUUUAAACUGUUAUUGUUUUAUCGUAUUAUAUGUUUGAAAUUUAUUCAAAAUAGGGUGUAGGGCGGUUAACGGUUGGGUAUUGGGGGUGAUCUCUGGUCCUGGUUGGACUUGACAUACCCGAUAUGAGUAGGCCCUGAUUUGAGUCGUGUCAGUAUAACAUGAACUUGUUGGACAAUUUCUUUCACAAACAGAUGAAGUGUUAUCAUCUGUAGAUGUACAAAAGGAAAAUAAAGUUGUGAAAAGAGAUUAUGAAGAACAUACUGAAGGAGAAAAUAUUGAAAGAUCUAGAGAUGAUUUAUAAAAGGAAUGAGUGGGAGAUAGGAAUGAUUUAUAAAAGGAAUGAGUGGGAGAUAGGAAGAAGUUGUAGGAAUCUAGAAGGAGAUAAAAAGAAAAAUGAGGAUAAAAUGAAAUAAAUAGUACAGAUGAGAUGAUGAAAAAAGUGAGAAAGGAGAUGAGGCAGAAGGUAAGGAAGAAAAUACAAAAAUCAAGAAAGGAGAUGAAAAGAAAGGUGAGGAAGAAGAUAAAAAGAAAAAUAAGAAAGAAGAUGAAAAGAAAAUUGAGAAAGAAGAUGACGUUGAAAAUAGAAAAGACGAUAAAGAGAAAAAGAAAAGAGAUAGUGUACAGGAAAGAGAAGAUGGAGAGGAAAGAGCUAAUGAUAAUGAAGAUAAUGAUGUUAAGAUAUCAACGACCAAUCAUGAACUUAGAUCAAAAGAUUUAAUGAUGUCAAAACUUUUAGUAUUGACAAAUUUCAGGUGGAUAUGCCUAUGGUUAAUCGCACAAAUUUGAUUGGUUCGUGUAUUGUAAAAUCAGUCAUGGAAAAUCUAUUGAUAGUUUUAGAGAUACAUUGAGAAAGAAAACUUAAAGAUUUCCUUUAUGGCCAGAUGUUUUGGACACUUUCUUAAUCUGUUGGAGGUAACAGUGUACACUUUUAAAUGACUAUGGUCUAUGAUAUUCUCAAGUGAGGGAUUAAGUAUGAGGGUGAGGAUGUUGAGAAUAGGAAGGAUGGGGAUAAAAAUAUGAUAGGAUAUAAAUAAAAUACUGUGGCAUGCUGAUUUGUUUUGACAUGAAGAAAUUUUCCAUAGUGACUGGACUUAGAUGUCAUCCUCCUUUUAAACCACUUUCCACUGUUACACCCACAAAAAAAUCAAAUACAUACAAGACAUUUAAAUUAACCAUGGAAGGUAAGAAAGGCAAGACAUCAACACCUAAGACAUGUAUAAAGACAGCCACCAAGAUAGCCACCAAAAUUAAUAAAGGCAAAGACAAAGUAAAUAAAAAGAAUCAGUUCGUGGUCAUUAUUGACUGAACUAUAAAAACAAGAAAUUGUUACUUGUUAAGAAAAGAAACUGUUGACGAAGUACAAGGAUCCAUUUUGCUUAUUUAGAUUUGCGCAUGUCAUUUUAUAGGCUAGAGACCCAACAAAGUCAUAGAACCUGAAUUGUUAAAACUUGCUCAGGAUUAGGAGACAUUCAACAAUUAGCCAUGGGGUUAUGAAAGCUUUAAGUUGACUGUUAAAUAUUUAUUGACAAAGGUAUCACUGGAGAAAGUAAACUUAUAUGAAUUUCCUUAGGCUUUCAUGAUAAACUUUUAACUUUUUUUAGUGUUUUAUUUAUUUUGUUAUCGAAUAAUUAAUCUGAUUUUAUGUUGGCAUCAUAUUUUUUAGACUUGGAUAUUUGAAGUCAUUACUCAUUCCGAUAGUAAGUCAAGGAUUACCCGAAGAGAUUUCAAAUCCAAGAAUUCUUAAGUGAUUGAUUUUCAAGAACAACUCAAGAGUGGAUGCCUUUGAUCAUUUUAAACCUUUUGAUGAAGCAAUAAGUUUUUUUUUUUAAAAAAUAGAAUAACUUUAUUUAAGUUAAAAAUUAACACAUUUCAACAAAUGAGUAAUUUAUUGCAAUAGAUAUCUUAUUUCCUGCAACACACAUAUAUAUUGCAAUUUUUAUCUAAAUCUAUUAAUAGAUUAUCCAAUUUACUGCAAAUUAUGUAGCAGAUUGAUAAUCUACUGCAAUACAUGACCUAUUUAUUGCAACAUAUUAGUAAUAUAUUGUAAUAGAUAAGACAUCCAUUGCAACUUAUAUCUGAACAACUGAUAACAGAUUAUCCAAUCAAUUGCAAACCAAUGUAAUAGAUAGGUAAUUUGUAUUCAUCUGUCACAACAUGCUAUCAAUCUGUUACAACUUAUAGGUUGUAUUUAAUAUAUCUAUUUUUGUGACUAAUUAAUAUAGAAUAUUGAUAUAUCUACUUUUGGUUAUAGAUUGUGCAUUUCUAGCUUGUCCCUAUAGAUCAAGAGUUGCAAAUGGCAUUCUUUGUUACUUUAGAAAUUCCUAAUCAAAUCCUAAGGUGGACAUGAUAAAAAAUUGACUAGAGCAACAACCAUCAAAAGAAAACUACCUAGAGUUGGUUAGUUCUUGUUGAUCCUAUUGGUGAUGUUGGUCAUGUGGGUGUUGGUGUUAAUAAUGGCGAUGGUGUUAGAAUUAGUGAUGAGUUAGUGAUGAUGCUCAUGAAAAAGUUUUUGAAAAAAGAGUUGAUCAUAAUGAUGGUCAUACUAGUGAUUUUAGUUGUAGAUGUGGUGGAUUGACACUUUUAGUAGGCAUAUCACCUCUUUUGGUGUCUCUUCUAGCUUCUGUUCUUCAUGUAAAUGUAAAGAAUUCAAGGACAAAUAUGAUGAAGUGAUUAAUGUUCUUAAUACAUUGACUGCUGUUUUUAAGGAAUUAUCAUCUAAGUGGGGUGUCAUUCCAUCAAAGAGUCUUAGAGAACCCUACACUCCUUUGGAGGUUAAGAAUAGGAUAGAAGAAAUCCCCAAGGUUCUUUCAAGUAUUAAAACAAGAAAAAUUCAAUUCCUCUUUUCCAUGAUGUUGGUGCAGAGCAGGUUGAGCAUAAGAAGGUCAAUAUUUACAAAAUGAUGUAUUUCAAAUAGAAAGUUGAUCUGAACAAAGUCCUCAAAACAAAAAAGGCUAAAAAAUAUACUCCAUGCAUGAAUUUAAUUAUAAUGAUUUUAAAAUCAUGAUGAACAUACGUAAAUGGUGAAAAUAAUGGGUAAUUUUUCUUAACUUCAACAAAUUUCAUAUGUUUAAAUAUUUUAUAAUUCAAAAACUUAUUGCACUUAUCUCUUUAUCUGUUAUGAUAAAUGGUACAUUUGCUGCAAUAAAUUACCCAUCUGUUAUAUAACUUGUUGUAGAUGAGUAAUCUAUUAACAAAUUCAGAGAUAAGUGCAACAUAUGUCUCAUCUGUUGCAAUAGAUUACAUAUUUGAUACAACAGAUGGGACAUCUGUUAUAACAAAUUAUCCAUCUGCUGUAAGUUAAAACUUGUAGUAGAUAAGUAAUUUGUUAACAUGUUCAGAGAUAAGUAUAACAGAUGGGACAUUUAUUUCAACAGAUUACCAUUUGUUGUAUACUUUUAAUUUUUAUUAUAUAUAUUUAUAUAAAUUCCAUUUUAAUUUUAGUAUGUUGAUUCCUCGAUCAUACACCUUCUCUUCAUUCACAUUCUUCUUGAUUUGCUUAGGUAAAUAUGUAAAGGAGGGUAUUCUCUCUCUUAAAUAUCCAAAGGAACAAUUCAAGAAUCUUCAUAAAGCAUCAUAUUAAUUUUCUCACAAUAUGUAAUUAUGUAUUUUUUUUCAUUACAUAAUAUAAAUAUUAGUACUCAUAAAACUGAUUUUUAAAUUGUGCAUCAUAUUGGGCUCGAAAUGUUAUCAUAGUAUACAAACAAGGUAUUUUAUUAAGUAAAAAAACAUAACAUGUACAAGUUCUUUUAAAAUCAACCAUUACAACAUCACCAUAACCGAUGAUACUGUAAUGCGAUUUUUGUAGCCUAAACUUGUUCCGAUUAUGACAAGAUUAUCUCUUAGAAUGAAUGAUAUUUAUUUCGUGUGGAAUUAUUUAUAUUUACAAUUUCCAUGGUGUAGGAAAUUGAAUAAGCUUUCCAACAAUAUAAGAUUCUCUUAAAUCCGAUAACCGGGUAAGAAGUUAUGGCUAUUUUAAGUUUCAGUCGCAAAACACCAUCAUUUGGACCCGUAGCGCAUCGCGGAGUAGUGAAAAAUCCCAUUUGUUAAUUUUUAGUGUGACCUCGCGAUACUGGCAUGUCGUGUCAGAGGUCAAAAUGACAAACAUGAGGGCUCCACGAUUGUGGCGCGUUGCGGAGGGAGCCCAUUUCCUGUUCGUCCAAUUUCCAAAGAGCCACCGUGAUAGUGGCGCGUCGCGGUGGCCACCCAAAUAAAAAAAAUGCACAUUUUUUUAGUUCCAUUUAAGAUUUUAAAGAGGGUAUUUUGGUAAAUCUCCCAACCCCCAAUCCGUCCAAAAACAUAAGAUUUAUCAAAUAUCAAGGCACUUUAUGCAUUAUUCAUCUAUUUCUCUCAAACAAAAAUCCUAGUUCAUCAACUUCAUCUCCAAGAAACUCAAGAUUCCACCAUCCUUUCUCCAAAUUGAUUCAAGAUUUAAGAUCCCUAGACCAAGAGCUUCAAAAAUCUUCAUUCAAGAGUGUGAAAGAGUCUCAAAAAGCAAGCUUGUGCAUCUAGUUCAUCAUCUAAGGUAUGCGGGGUUAUGAACAAGGACAAUCCUUUCGACCUUGUGCCCAAAACUUGAUUUUCUUGUGAAAGUUAUUUGAUUUUACAUGUUUUCCUAUGAAAUUGAAGUUGGGUUUAUACCCUAUGUUUCUAUUCAUGGGAUUAUGAGAUUUUUAAUGUUUUUAGAAGUUGAAUUACAUAAGUAUGUUGAUAUUAUUAUGCAUAUUGCUGAAAUUUUAGAUUUUAAGAUGAUUUAUGAAUUUUAUGUCAUUAAACAUGAAUUUUGAGAUAUUUUAUUAUAAGAUUGAUAAAUGGGUCAUUAAGCCCUAUUUGAGAUUAUUAUUUUAAAAUUUUUUGUGCUAUAAGCACCCUAUGAUUAGAUUAUUUUUAGAUUAUUGAGAAAGAUUUGACAUUUUGGUCAAAAUAGAUUGAAAUCCACUUUGCAAAUUGAGAUUAUGAGUUUUAGAGUUGGUUUCAUUAUAAACCAUGAGAUUAUUUUAAAGUGGAUUUUCUUAAGAUUUUGAGCAUAAGAAUGAGAGUAGUAUUUAGCACCGAGAUGGGUAGGUUACUACGGUUUCAGACGCCAGAACUAUGUGCCAACGUAGGAUUUAGAUUAUUCCCACUUCUACGUGGAUGACUGAGAUUGUGAUCACUGAGAUGAGAUUGUUCUAUUUUGAUGACAAGGGUAGAACAACCCUAACCUUAAGGGGGCUAGUCGUGGGACACCAUAGAUGCUCACAUGGUGUACAUGUUGGUUAGAAGAACCUCCCAAAUAGAUGUCCCCCACUCUUAAAAUAGCUUUUUGAGAUAAAGUAUUUACUAUACAGAAUGAGCUUCAGAUUACAUCUAGCUUACAUAAUUUGAGAACAAAAAGAGAAUACAGAUUUUUAGAACUAAGUGUAAUGACUCACAAGAUUUAGAAUAUAUGCAUUAUUAUUUAUGAUUUCAAUAUUUUAGAUUUACUCGAGCUAUGUGAGUCAUUUACGUCUAGCAUGCACGAUUUAUAAAUUGUGAUGAUAUUAUUUACUUAUUGCAUACACCCCCAUAUACUCAGUACAUCAUCAAAGUACUAAUCCAUAUAUAUGUCUAUGUGCUACAUUGUCUCAUAAUGUAGGUACAGGUCCUCAGUCUCAGCAGUGUGAUUGAUCUUCGAGCAUUUUAUCUACAUCCCUGUAGUUGGUGAGUCCUCAUAGUUUUGAGGGCUUAGUUAUUCAGAUUUCCAAGUUACUAGUAGAUAUGUCUUUACUCAUUUCAGAUAGUUGAGUCAGCUGGUGCCUGUCCUAGUGACUCUCUAGAUUCAGAUAGUAGAGGCUUGUCGGACUGUUAGAUUCAAAUUUAGACCUUUGAGUUAGUAUUUAGAUUUUCAGCAUUUGUUUAAUCAGAUUGGUGAGAUUAGUACUUUCAGAUAUAUUCAGAUAGUUUUCUGCAUUUCAUUAUGAUUUAUACUUAUAUUUUCCUAUGUUGAGAUUCAGAUGUGUUAGAAGGCAGCCAGGGUUAGCUCAGGACUACUUGUAGUUCGGAGCAUCGUGUAGCAUUCCGGAAAUUAGAUUUUUUGGCAUUACAAACUUGGUAUCAAAGCCUAAGGUUUAGAGAGUUCUAGGGAGUCAGAAAAGCCGCGUUACAUAGAGUCUUGAUCAUCGGUGUGAAGCGCGCCACAUCUAUGAGCAAGAGGCUAUGAAGCAUUUUAGAAAAAUCCUCUUUUCUUUCAUAAUCCAUCAUGCUUACAACUGUCUCUAUAUGCUAUUAACUCAUGCUAUUUUAUGAUAGAAUAUGCCUCCUUACAAAGCUAAUAUCCAUAGAAAUGAUAGCCAACCACCUCAGUCCGCAGAUCCUUUAAAUGAGAAUGUGUCACAUGCAGAGUUUUAGGUAAAUUUUUAGGCUGUAGUCCCACCUCAGCAGGAUGUGGAUUUAUCCAUAGCCAGAAUUUGAGACUUUAUGAGAAUGAACCCGUCAGAAUUCUUUGGGUUGAAGGCAGGUGAGUACCUACAACAAUAUCUUGAUAAGGUGAAGAAGAUUACCCGAAUUAUGCAUAUUUCUAAAGAGGAGAGUGUAGAAUUGGCAUCAUAUAGGCUGAAAGAUGUUGCUUAUGACUAAGUGGUGAUGUGGAAGAAGAGUAAAGGGGAGAAUGCAGCCCCUAUGACUUGGCAGAUAUUUCAGGAUGUGUUCUUAGACAAAUUUUUCCCACUUGAGAUGAGGAAAGCUAAGAUAGAAGAGUUCAUGAACCUGACGCAGGGCUCCAUGACAGUGAAGGAGUAUUGCCUCAAGUUCAAUCAGUUGUCUAAGUAUGACCCUGAUCAGAUGGCUGACCCUAGGUCAAGCAUGAGUAAGUUUAUGACCGGUGUGUCUGGGAUGGUAGUUAAGGAGUGUAGGACUGCUAUGCUCAAUAGGGAUAUGGAUAUUUCUAGAUUGAUGAUGCAUGCUCAGCAGAUUGAGGCAGAAAAUAUAAAGAAAAGAGAGACAGUAAAUAAGAGGGCUAGAACAGGGCAGUGUGAUCAUGGCCAGAAUAGGUCUGGAGGAGAAAAUCGUUCGCAGUUUUAGAAUCGCUCAUAUAUGCCUGCACCUUCUUCAGCCAGUGCCCCUGCAUCCAGUAAUAGGGAGGAAUAGUGGGGUAAGUCUUCUAUAUCCAGAUCUUAGAAUAGUAUGAGUGGGAAGCCCAAUCGUCUUCCAUGUGCUAAGUGUGGUAAGGAUCAUAGAGGUAAAUAUUUGUGGGGUCAGAAAGGUUGUUAUGGUUGUGUCCAAGAGGGUCGCAGUAUUAGAGGUUGCCCACAUGCUAGACAGGGAAAUAGAGAUGUUCGUCCCCAGAUUUAGGCUAAUAGUGCACCAGCUCCUUUAGGUCACCCAACCCUUUCUCAAGGCGCAUCAUCUAGUACUGUUGGCAGUCAGUGCCAGAAUAGGUUCUAUGCUUUACUAUCCCAUCAGGAUCAGAAGGAUUCCCUAAAUAUUGUUACUGGCAUGCUUCGAGUCUUUUAUUUUGAUGUGUAAGUGCUAUUAGACCGCAGGUCAAGUUUUUAUUAUGUGACCCUGUUAGUUGCUGUGAAUUUUGAGAUAAAUGAAAGAUUCCCGAGCCUUUCUUGGUUUCCACCCCAGUAGGUGAGUCAGUUGUUGCCAAAUAAAUUUUAAAAAAAUAUCUUAUCACUAUUCUUCAUAAAGUUAUGUUAGCAGACUUGACAAAGUUAGAUAUGGUUGACUUUGAUCUUAUUCUUGGUAUGGAUUGACUCCAUUCCUGUUAUGCUUCUAUAGAUUGUCGCACUUGAGUGGUGAAGUUUCAGUUUCCAGAUGAGCCAAUCUUUGAGUGGUUCGAUAAUUCAGUGUCUCCCAAGAAUUAUUUCAUAUCUUAUAUUAAGGCUAGAAAGUUGAUAUCCAAGGGUUGCAUUUAACAUCUAGUUUGAGUUAAAGACACUAAGUCUGAGACUCCGACAGUUUAGUCAGUUGAGGUAGUGAAUGAGUUUCUUGAUAUUUUUCCAGAAAAUCUCCCAGGGGUAUCUCCCGAUAGAGAAAUAUAAUUUGGUAUUGACCUUCUUCCAGAUACUCAACCUAUUUCUAUCCCACCAUAUUAUUUGGCUCCCACAGAGGUUAAAGAGUCGAAGACUGCCUUUAGAACCCGUUAUGGUCAUUUUGAGUUUCUAGUCAUGGCUUUCGGGCUAACCAAUACUCUAACAGCUUUCAUGGUCCUCAUGAAUCGAGUGUUCAAGCAGUAUCUAGAUAUAUUUGUCAUAGUGUUUAUAGAUCAUAUCCUCGUAUACUCUCGUAGUGAGGAUGGCCAUGCAGACCAUCUUAGAAUUGCCUUGCAAACUCUUAGAGAUCAUCAAUUGUUCGCCAAAUUUAGCAAGUGCGAAUUUCAGCUAAGGUCAGUAGCCUUUCUCGGUCAUAUUAUUUCUGCCGAUGGCAUUAAAGUGGAUCCCCAAAAGAUAGAAGCCAUAAGAAAUAGGCCUAGACCUAUCUCUCCAUCAGAUAUUAGGAGUUUUUUUGGGUCUAGCUAGCUAUUACCGCCAUUUUGUUGAAGGUUUCUCAUCUAUUGCAUCUCUUAUGUCUAGAUUGACCCAAAAGAAAGUUAAGUUCCUGUGGUCAGAUUCCUGUGAGAAGAGUUUUCAGAAGUUGAAGACUUGACUCACUUCAGCCCCAGUGUUAGCAUUACCUGAUGGUACAAAUGGUUUUGUGGUGUAUUGUGAUGCCUCCAGAGUUGGUUUAUAUUGUGUGUUGAUGCAGAGAGGUAAGAUCAUAGCCUAUACCUUUAGACAACUGAAGCCUCAUGAAAAGAAUUACCCAACCCAUGAUCUGGAUUUAGCUGCUGCGGUAUUUGCUUUGAAGAUCUGGAGACACUAUCUGUAUGGUGUUCAUGUUGAUGUAUUCACAAACCAUAAAAGCUUGCAGUAUGUAUUUACUCAGAGAGUGUUGAAUCUCCAUCAGAGAAGAUGGUUAGAUUUGUUAAAGGAUUAUGAUAUGAGUGUAUUGUACCAUUCGGGAAAGGCCAAUGUAGUGGCAGACGCCCUUAGUAGAUAGUGUAUGGGCAGCGUUGCUCAUGUGGGGAAUGAUAAGAAAAAAUUGGCUUGAGAAGUUCAUCAUUUAGCUAGGUUGGGUAUUAGGUUGGUUGAUUCAGCUGAAGUUAAUGUUUGGGUUCAGAGUAGUUCUGAAUCUUUUCUAGUUUCGGAAGUGAAGGAAAAGCAAGAUAUGGAUUGGUCAAACAGAUGGAGUCAGUUAAAGACCAAAAGGUAGAGAUUUUCUCCCAAAGGGGAGAUGGUGUGUUGAGGUACCAAAGUAGAUUGUGUGUGCCUUAUGUUGAUGAUUUGAGGCAGAGAAUUAUGGUAGAAACACAUGGUGAAAGGUAUUCUAUUAAUCCAGGUGCUACCAAGAUGUAUCGCGACUUACGGGAGAUUUAUUGGUGGAAUGGUAUGAAGAGAGAUGUAGUGGAUUUCAUAGCUAAAUGUGCAACUUAUCAAUAGGUUAAGGUAGAGUACCAAAGACCCGGUGGUACAUUGCAAGAGUUUGGUAUCCCCACUUAGAAGUGAAAAGAGGUGAAUAUGGAUUUUAUGACUGGUUUACUCCAAUCGCAUCAUCAUCAUGAUUCGAUUUGGGUUAUUAUAGACAGAUUGACUAAGUCAAUGAAUUUCUUGCCAGUUUAUACGUCCUAUACAGUUGAAGAUUAUGCUAGGUUGUAUAUCCGAGAGUUAGUCAUAUUGCAUGGAGUUACCUUGUCUAUUAUUUCAAAUAGGGGUACUCAGUUCACCUCCCAGUUUUGGAUAGCUUUUCAGAAGGGUCUGGAUACCUAAGUUCAUCUUAGUUCAGCUUUUCAUCGCAGAAAGAUGGUCAGGCAGAUAGGAUCAUUCAGACUUUAGAAGAUAUGUUGAGGGCGUGUGCUCUUGAUUUCAAAGGUAGUUAGGAUGGCCAUUUGUCAUUGAUUGAGUUUUCUUAUAAUAACAGUUAUCAUGCUAGCAUUUAGAUGGCUCUAUUUGAAGCUCUUUAUGAGAGGAGAUGUAAAUUACCCAUAGGAUGGUUUGAAGUAGGUAAGGCCGCUUUACUUGGGCCUGAUUCAGUGUUUGAAGCUAUGGAGAAAGUUAAGCUGAUUAGAGAGAGAUUGAAAACAACCCAGAGUCAUAAGAAAUCCUACUCAAAUGUGAGAAAAAAGAACCUCGAGUUUGAAGUAGGUGAUUUUAUGUAUUUGAAGAUUUCACCCAUGAAAGGGGUGAAGAGAUUUGGCAAGAAGGGGAAGCUUAGUCUUCGCUAUGUUGGCCCUUAUAGAAUUUUGAGUCGUGUUGGGAAAGUAACUUAUGAGAUUGUGUUGCCCGCAGACUUGUCCGCAGUUCAUCUUGUAUUCCACAUCUCUAUGCUUAAGAAGAGUAUCAGUGACUCCACCAUUGUAGCUCCUUUAGAAAGCUCAGAUAUUCAGAACAGUCUUUCUUAUGAAGAGAUUCUAGUUGAGAUUUUAGAUCAUCAGAUCCGUAGACUAAGGUACAAAGGAGUUACCUUGGUCAAAGUUCUUUGGCAGAAUCAGUCCAUUGAGGGUGCCACUUGGAAAGUAGAAGCAGACAUGCAAGCCAAGUACCCUCACCUCUUCACCGCAACCUCAGAUUUAGCCAAAGGUAAUACUCUUCCUUAAUUCAGUCCUUUUCUAAUCGCAGAUUCAACUAUAUAGUUUUCCUCAUGUAAGUUCAUGCACUCUCAGAUUUCUCAGAAGAUCAGAAUGAUUUAGAUUUAGAUGUUCAGUUUAUUUUAGUUUUGCAUGCUACCUUAUAUUCUCAGUUUCUUUAGAAAUUUCAGCUUAGCUAGCCAUAUUCGAGGACGAAUGUUUUCAAGGGGGAGAUAUUAUAAUACCUUGUGAUUUUCCUAGCCUAAACUCGUCCCGAUUAUGACAAGAUUAGCUCUUAGAAUGAAUGAUGUUUAUUUCGUAUGGAAUUAUUUAGAUUUUAACUUUUCAUGGUGUGGGAAAUUGAUUAAGCUUUCCAAUGAUAUAAGAUUCGCCUAAAUCCGAUAACUGGGUAAGAAGUUAUGGCUAUUUUAAGUUUCAGUCGCAAAAUACCAUUAUUUGGACCCUUAGCGCAUUGCGGAGUAUUGAAAAAUCCUAUUUGUCAAUUUCCAGUGUGACCUCACGAUACUGGCGUGUCACGCCAGAGGUCAAAAUGACAAACAUGAGGGCUCCGUGAUUGUGGCACAUUGCGGAGGGAGCCCAUUUCCUGUUCAUCCAAUUUACAGAGAGCCACCGCAAUAGUGGCGCAUCGUGGUGACCACCCAAAUCAAAAAAAUAUACGUUUUCCAGUUCCAUUUAAGAGUUUAAAGGGGAUAUUUUGGUAAAUCUCCCAACCCCCAAUCCGUCCAAAAACAUAAGAUUUAUCAAAUAUCAAGGCACUUUAUGCAUUAUUCAUCUAUUUCUCUCAAACAAAAACCCUAGUUCUUCAACUUCAUCUUCAAGAAACUCAAGAUGCCACCAUCCUUUUUCCAAAUUGAUUUAAGAUUUAUGAUCCCUAGACCAAGAUCUUCAAGAAUCUUCAUUCAAGAGUGUGAAUAGAGUCUCAAAAAGCAAGCUUGUGCAUCUAGUUCAUCAUCUAAGGUAUGUGGGGUUAUGAACAAGGACAAUCCUUUUGUCCUUGUGCCUAAAACUUGAUUUAUUGUGAAAGUUAUUUGAUUUUACAUAUUUUCCUUUGAAAUUGAAGUUGGGUUUAUACCUUAUGUUGCUAUUCAUGAGAUUAUGAGAUUUUCAAUAUUUUUAGAAGUUGAAUUGCAUGAGUAUGUUGAUAUUAUUAUGUAUAUUGCUGAAAUUUCCAGAUUUUAAGAUGAUUUAUGAAUGUUUAUGUCGUCAAAAAUGAAUUUCAAGAUGUUUUACUAUGAGAUUAAUAUAUGGGUCACUAAGCCCUAUUUGAGAUUCUGAUUUUGAGAAUUUUUGUUCUAUAAUUACCUCAUGAUUAGAUUAUUGAGAAAGAUUUGACAUUUUGGUCACAAUGGAUUGAAAUUCACUUUGCAAAUUGAGAUUAUAGAUUUUAUAGUUGGUUUCAUUAUAAACCAUGAGAUUAUUUUAAAGUGGAUUUUCUUAAGAUUUUGAGCAUAAGAAUGGGAGUACUAUUUAGCACCGAGAUGGGUAGGUUACUGCGAUUUUAGAUCCCAGAACUACGUGCCAAUGUAGGAUUUAGAUUAUUCUCACUUCUAUGUUGAUGACUGAUAUUGUGAUCACUGAGAUGAGAUUAUUCUAUUCCGAUGGUAAGGGUAGAAUAGCCCUAACCUUAUGGGGGCUAGUCGUGGGACACCAUGGAUGCUCACAUGGUGUACAUAUUGGUUAGAAGAACCUCCCAAAUAGAUGUCCCCCAUUCUUAAAAUAGCUUUUUGAGAUAAAGUAUUUACUAUACAGAAUGAGCUUCAGAUUUCAUCUAGCUUACAUGAUUUGAGAACAAAAAGAGAAUGCAGAUUCUUAGAACUAAGUGUAAUGACUCACAAGAUUUAGAAUAUAUGCAUUAUUAUUUAUGAUUUCAGUAUUUCAGAUUUACUCGAGCUAUGUGAGUCAUUUACGUUUAGCAUGCAUGAUUUAUAAACUGUGAUGAUAGUAUUUACUUAUUGCAUACACCCCCAUAUACUCAGUACAUCAUCAAAGUACUGAUCCACAUAUAUGUCUAUAUGCUACAUUGUCUCAUAAUGUAGGUAUAGGUGUUCAGUCUCAGCAGCGUGAUUGAUCUUCGAGCAUCUUAUCUACAUCCCUACAGUUGGUGAGUCCUCAUAGUUUCGAGGGCGUAGUUAUUUAGAUUUCCAAGUUACUAGUAGAUAUGUCUUUACUCAUUUCAGAUAGUUAAGUCAGUUGGGGCCUGUCCUAGUGACUCAUUAGAUUCAAAUAGUAGAGGCUUGUCGGACUGUUAGAUUCAGAUUUAGACCUUUGAGUUAGUAUUCAAAUUUUCAGCAUUUGUUUAAUCAGAUUGAUGAGAUCAGUACUUUUAGAUAUAUUCAGAUAGUUUUCCACAUUUCAUCAUGAUUUAUACUUAUAUUUCCCUAUGUUAAGAUCCAGAUAUGUUAGAAGACAUCCAGGUUUAGCUCAGGACUACUUGUAGUUCGAAGCACUGUGUGGCGUCCUGGGAACUAGAUUUCAGAGCGUUACAGAUACUGAACUUGUAGUUGACUAUUUGAUGGGACAAUAACUUAUUUUCAAAGUUGAUGCACUUUGAUGUUUAUUUUUUAUCGUAGAAAUAAGUCUGUUUUGUGAGUUGACCAAGUUCAUAUGCCUGUCAUAAAAUAAAAUUGCAGACCUCAUAUUUAUUUCAUCAAAUAGAGCGACAAUAGAAAAUUGUCUUUCAGCCUUAGACAUUACAUUCACUAUCUCAGCAAUGUUUGAUGUCAUAUACUCAUACAAAAAGUCACUUAGUAAGACAUAAAAUUAUAAUAAGCUCAAACAAGACAAUCAAUUUAUACUAUUGUACCUAUUUUUCGGGGAGAAUACCCUAAUCCAUCUGUUGAAUCUGACACGUUCGAGAUGUUUGACUGUCUUGGAUACCAUAUCCCUUAUUUGAUUAAAAUAGUCAUUAAACUCGCCUCUAUCUUACGCUUUCACUGCUUUAUAAAAAUGAGAUACAACCUUUGAAUUGUGAAAAUUGUUUAGAAUAUUUUCUCCAUGGUGCCUCAUGCAACAACCAUGAUGAGUUGAUAGGUAGACAAUUGAAACCAUCUUUCAAAUACUUGAAUGCCUAUCAGAAAUUAUGUAUAACUCGUUGGUAUCAUCUAUAUAAUUUUUCAUUUGUUCAAAGAAAUAUUGGUAUUAGGCAUUUCAUUUUUUGUCCACUACACAAAAAGCCAUCAAAAAAAUUUGAUUCACUGUCAGUGUUGAUACUAGAACUCCUUCAUACUUGAUCUUCAAAAAUGUCCCAUCGAUGGCUAUGACUUUUCUCAUAUUUUGAAAAUCAAAAAUCCAAGUUGCAUAUUCUACAAAAAAGUACUUGAACUUUUCAUUUUCGUCAACCUGCAAUGCCUUCUUAUUUCCUGAAUUUACGGACUGAAAUAUAUAAUGGUACGCAUAAAGCAUUGCAUUCUUGAGCUCAUGUGUUUCCCUAACUAAAGACUUUGAAAUCUCCAUGUCCUUAUAAAUCUUCCAACAAAUUAUCUUACAACUCAAUUCUGUACGAAGUUGACUUUACGAUAUCUCUUAUAGAUGAGCCUUUACUAUUGGAAAAAUUAUUUUCAAAGUAUUUAUUGAUGACAAUUAUUGUGACAUGCAGAUUAUGGCUUGUAAUAUGCUCUGAACCACAUGUAUGAUAUUUUUCUAGAUUCUAACUCAUAAUCUGUCAGAACUUGAUUUCACAAACCUCAAUCACUACUUGCACUUCAAAUGUGCACAUCUAAAAUAAUAUAUGUUAUGUAAAUUAAUCACCUUCUGAGUCUAAAUCUUUUUUCAAGCAAGCAAUAUGCAAUGAGUGUCUAGUUCUUCCUUAUUCUUGAAUGUCAUUCCCUUAUAAAAAUCUAUUUUAUCACCUUGAACAUGUAUGAAUUGCCUACUAUAUUGCUUACAACAACAAAUGUAGGUGUUUGGUCCUCCUCCACUUUAGUAGAAUUUUCUAAGAUGGUCCAAAGUAUAAAUGAAAACUUUGGCAUGUAAAAUUUAUAUGAGUCAAACCCCUUUAAUCCUUAAUCUAAAAAUUGUCACUCCUAUUCAAUAAUUAAAACUUGAGUCACUACAACUUAAUUUUUUAAAUUUUUGGUCACCCUUAAUUCUUUGUCCCUAGUUACACUUUAUUUUGAUGGUGGUUACAUUGGUAUAGUAUUGUAUCGUUACCAAGAGUAUCAUAUUUGUUUUGAUUGUUAUUUAAAACAGAUGCCAUGAUAUAAUUUGAUUUCAUGGUUACAACGUGAAAGACAUCACUUUAUCACUUUAUGUAACCACCAAUUCCACUAUUACCUAAUUUGUCUUUUCAAUUAAUGUUGACAGGUAAAUAGCGAGGGUCAUGGACAGCAGUGUAAUUUCAAUUUUGUCCUCCAUAGUGAUUUUGUAAAUAUAAUAAUUAAAAAUUUUUGCAAAAUGUGUUAGAUGUUUUAUUACUACUUAGACAGCUCGGUUACACCGAGCUUUUGAUAGCACAGAGAUCUGAGAAAAUUGAAUCAUGAGGAUCUAAGAUAUGCAACUUUGCCCUACAUUUGUUUGUUAUUAAUAUUUUGUUAUAUUGUUUGUAUUAAGGGAAUAGACCGGUAAAAAAUACUAAGGGAUCAUCUGGUUACUUGUUAAAGCUAUUUAGAGCAAUACAAAGAGUAGUUAUGCAUGGGACUUAUUAUUCAUAUCACCAGAAUAACAAUAUACUUAGUGCAGUCCCACAAAAUGGGGUCUGAAGAAAGUAGAGUAUAUGCAGAUUUUAUCACUACCUCAGAGGUAAGGUGGAUAGGUUAUUUCCGAAAGAUCAUCGGCUCAAGAUAAAAACAGACUAGAAAAAGAUGUAAUGAAAAUACAUGAAAUAAUAGGUAGUAACAAAAACAAUGAAAAUACAUGAAAUAAUAGGUAGUAACAAAAACAAAAGAUAGUAGAAAACAUUACAAUAAUAAAAUACUACCACUAUCAAACUACACAAACAAUAAAUAUUAUGAACAUAGAUCAAAGAACAAGAAAUUUUAAAAGUGAUUCUACCACUACUAGUAAGGACAACAAAAUAAUUUACUCAUAUUUAUUAGUAUAGACACGCUCCUUCUAGAGGACUUAUCAUUCAUAUAUUAGUUCAUUUAUCUUCUACCUACAUAAAUUAAAUAAUAGAGUACAUAAAUUGGGUUACAACUUGUACAUAUUCUAGUUAUUUGUGUGAUAAUAAAACACCGUAUUUGGUGUUAAAUUUUAUUGGCAUAAUACAUAAAUAUGAUCUUUAACUUGACUUCAAUUUUUAUCUAUGCCCUCCAACUUUGAGUGUGCAAGUAGACACUUAAUAGGAUGUAUGUAUCUACUUGUUCAACUUUAUACAAAUUUAAGUACAUAAUUGUGCACAUCCAAAGUUGGAUGUCAUAAAUGUGAGUUAGGAUAUAAUUAAAGGACAUGUAUAUAUAUUCUGCCAAUUUUAUUAAUAGCAACUAAUGUAGUGCGGAGUACUAAUUAUAUUGAUUUUAACUCAUGAAAUAUACAGGUACAGUUUCUUUUCAUGUUAUAGAACUUGGCAUUUCAUUUUUACCAACGAGCACAAACUACAUUUUUUUGUAAUUGAGCUCACUCCAGACCCCAAAAAAAGGUGAAGUUUCAUUAACCUGAGCACCUUUAUAUAUUUUCUUUGAGAAUGAUAACAUUACUUUACUAUUAUUACUGUUAUAUAUAAGAGAGAAUGUGAAAUUUUGGUAGUCCUCACAUGAAGCCUUUUUGUUAAUUUUAUUUCUAAUUUAAGUUUUAAUUACUCUAUAAAUUUUCAUCCAUUUUGAUAAAUGGUCAAUUAUAUGGGUUUAUUAAAUGCUACAAAAGUGAUGAGUUAUAGAAAAAUGAUAGUGAUACCAUAAAAAACUAUUUAUACAAUCAAAUUUAAAAUUGAUCUAAAAAUUUAUUGUCGUUCUAUUUUCUAGAAAUGUUUAUUAAUUUUAUUUCAAAUUAUCAUCUUUUCUAAUAAAUUUAUCCUGGACAAGGAAAUAAAGUAUCUUGACAUUCCCUUUCUAACUUAGUACAUGCUUAAUUAUUAAAUAAAAAAUUACAUUUUAUAUAUAACUAAAAAUGUUUGAAAAUUUAAUUUUUUAAAAAAAAAUUUAACUCUCCAAAUAUAAACUAAAUAAUAAAAAAUCAGACUACUUCUUAUUCACAUUUUUUGAUAAUGAAUUUCUUAACAAAAAUGGGAUGGUUAAUAUUCUUAUAGUUUAGGAAAAAAUAAUUAAUUUAACAUGAAAUAUGAAAGCUUCAUACAUAUUUGAAAAAUAUCAAUAUAAAUUUCUUCAUAUGUGUUUUUAGGGAAGAAACUAUUAAGGUUAAAAAAAAUUAGUAACUUUUCAGUUUCUUUCGUAUGCUUUAUAUGAAGGAACAUCUACAAAAAUAUUUUGUUGAAUCAAGUCUUUUAAUUAUUUAAAUUAAAUUCUAUCUUUAUUUAUAAGUUAAAUUUAUUAAUGUUAUCAUACAAUAAUUUACAGUAUUUAAAAUUUAUUAUAUUACUUUGAAUGUCAGAGUUUAUUUAUUUUUGUAAUGAAUGUGUAUAAGUAUAACUGAGAAAAACUUAAUGAAAAAUAGUUUACUCAAUAUAAGUUGAACUAAGAAAAAAAUGAGGAAGCUAAUUCAACAUAAGAUAAAACUCGAUUUAGAUCAUUAAAGGCUAAAACUACCAUUAAAAUAAAAAAUAAAAAUAGUGUUGGUGCAUGUGUUUGAAACUAAAAAGAAAAUCUAAAAUAAAACUCUAAAAAAAUAUUUUACUUCUAUUUUUUUUAAAUAAAUUAUUUGAUUAAUAUUAGAAAUUUUGAGAUAUUAUCGAACUAUAUUUAUAGCUAAUAUAAUGUUAUAAAAAUAAAAUAAAAAUAAAAAACAAAAAUAGCAACCAGAUAAAAAAUUUUAAAAUCUAAAAUUUAAUGUUAAUUUUGGAUCCGGACUCGACACGAGCCAAAUACGGCUAGUAUUAUAUACCAAGGAUCUUGGUAGUCCUCAUAAAAGUUUCCAACUUAAUUUUAAUCAUUUCAAUUAAUUACUUUAAUGUCAUGAUCUUAUCUUUUAGAGUCAAAUUUACUUUUUGUAAUUUAGUUUAUUUUUCAAAAGUUCCUUUAUCUUAUCAUUUUAAAGGCUUUCUUUACUUUAAUUCUUUAUUUUCUGAAUUUGAUAGCAUACAUCCCUCAAGUGGUCAGGUUAGCAUUUUCUUUAGAAAAACUACACGGGUUGGUAAACAUAAGCACUUAAUUAACCCACUCAACUAAAUUUUAAUUAAUUACAAUUCAUAGCUUAACUUAACUAUAUUGCCCCCUCUUUCUUGCCACUCUCCUCCCAUCUCUCCCAAUUCAUCGUUCUCGCAACUCUCCUCCUUUCUCAAUUUCACCGUGUAUAAUUGUUAGAUUCUUAUGACCAUCUUCAUAUUAUUGUAUUUUUGUAAUUUCUUGAAUUUGUAUUUAUACGAUUUCAUAUUAUAUAUAGUUUAAUCAUAGUAUUUGUAUAUUAUAUUUUUUCUUAUACGAUUCUUAUACAAAUACAAUUGAUAACAAUUGACACAAAUACAAUAGAUACACGGUCUACGAAUUAUAAUUUUUGAAAUUGUAGCUAUGCAGGCCAAUUUUCGCCUAUAUGUAUGCUAUUUCUGAAAGUUUUCUCUUUUUUCUUUAAAGAAUUUCUAUAUGUGCUUUUGUUAUUGGUUUAUAUAAUAACUUUUUAUGAAUCUUUUUGUACUCUUUGUUUAAUUAUUUUUAUACUUCUUCAUCCCAAAAUAUUUACUAUUAAUAUUUUACUAACUAAUAUUUAAAGAUUUUUUUCACUAUAUUAAUGGGAGAAUCGAUAUCGAUAGUGCUUUACAUAUAAUUUAUGAAUAUCUAAAUUUUAAUUUAAAAUAUUAAAUUAAUCUAACUCAAUUUAUCUGCAAAGAUUAGGCAAAUAUUUUUUUUUAAAUAUGAUGAAAUGAUGAAAGUAUAUUAUCUGAUCUUCACAGAAUUGUAAAUAUUUUACAUACUUCAACGUUCAAAUAAUAUUAUAUUAUAGAAUACCAUAUUGCUUAUAUUUUUUUAUUUUGUAUUUACUAAUUCUCCAAUCAUACUCCCUUUCUAUUGCAUAAUAUUUUCUUUAAGCAGUAUCUAAUUAUGUGACUACUUUUAUGUUACCCUCCGAAAAUACCCUCUGAAGGUCACACGGUGCUCAAAACUACGAAUAGCCCUAAGCUAACCCAUGAUAGCUAUUCAUCUUGAAACUCGUAUGACAAGUAAACUAACAUGUAUAGAAAAGCAAGAUAAACCAUUCCAUAACUUAAUAUGAAUUUUUUACUUCAGAAAACUUAAGCAAACUUCUUGAACUUAGAACAUAAAGAAUCUGACAAGCCUCUACUGAAGUCUAGCGAGCCACUGGGACAGACCCUAGUUGACCCAAACAUAAAACAAAAAUCAAGUAACUAAAGUUCUUUCAUCAAUAAAAAAAGUCUGAUAAGCUGGGUCCUCGGACUAUGAGGACUCACCAAAAGUCAGGAUACAGGUAAUGAUGCCCGUAGUCAAUCGCAUUGCUGAAAACGAGCAUCAGAACCUACAUUAUAAGACAGUGUAGCACAUAGACAUAUAUGUGAGUUAGUACUUCUGGAAUUGAAUAUGUGGGGGUGAAUGCAUAUGUAAAAUAAGAACUGAAUAUAUUUGUACACUUUGAAAUGACGCAUGCUAAGUGUAAAUGACUCACCUUGGACUUGAGUAUAAAUAACAAUUUCAAGAUCAUAAAACAUGGAUAAUGAAGCAUAAGAGUAAACUUAGUGAGCCAUAACACUUAGUUUCUAAAAUCUUUACUUUUAGUCUUUCUUAUGGGAGAUUCUUCUGACCGACAUAUACUAUGUGAGCUACCAUAGAUUCCAAUGUCUUAUCCAAGUUGAGGAGAACUGUUCUACCCUUGCCAUCAGAAUAGAACCUUAACUUAAGUGAUUAUUAUACUUCAUCUAUAUUGGAAAAAAGUUUAACCCAUGGUGGCUCAUAGUUUUUGGGAAUUUAAGAUACGUUCAUCCGCAUUCCCUUCUCGGUGCUAAAUACUACUCCAGAUUAUAUAUGCUCAUACUUAAGAAAUCCACCUUAAAAUAGCAUAAGGGUUUAUAUACUAAAAACCAGUUAUGCUUCUCUUUACUUUAAAUCAUAAUCAAGAUGAACAACUGUGGAUUUUAUGUCUUAUCUUUAGAUCAAAAGAUUAAUUUUUUAUUUAAAUCAUGUUAUAGAACAUAUCAAUGGAGCUUAAGAGCAUAAACUUCUUAUAAACUCAGUACUUGUACUUAGGACUUGAAAUUCAUGCUUUAUUUCAUUGAAAUUCAUAGCAGAACACUAUGCUCAAUAAUCACCUUGAAAUCUUUCAACAAUAUCUUAGUCAAAAUAAUGAAAUUCAAAUCAUAAUAUAAAUCUUACAAGUCACAACAUGAAUAUAUGUAAACCUUGAUGCACUUAAAGCUUUCAAUCACAUGGUAAUAUUAUACUUCAAGAAUAUGUUUAUUUGGGUAUGAACCCUAAUUCAAAACAAGUAAAUUCGCUCUUAAAAUCAUACUUUUUAGGCACAAGGAUGAAAGAAUAACCUUGUUCAUAAAUCCCACAUACCUGAAAUUGCUUAACUUGUAAAGAAAGCUUGAACUUAAGGCUUGAGAGAUGACUUAGUGAGAGAAAUCCUAAUCUUGAUGAUCUUGAUGAUAGGAGGAGGAAAGUGUUGUUAAUUGACUGAAAGUGGAGGAAAAUAACAUUUAUUUUUAAGUUAUAAGUCGUGGGUUGGGAAUUAAUAGAAGGAAAAAGACCAAAAGACCCUCUAACUGAACAUUACAGAAAUUGAUCUCCAGUCUAUACGAGUCAACCAUACAACUCGUAUGGUGAAGGUACGAGUUAGCCUCAUGACUCGUAAGCUUGGAAGAAUCAAGAUGGUAUACACUGGUCAACAUACGAGUCUAAACUUAUGACUAGUAAUAUUAUAAUACAACUUGUAGUCCCCCACUCAUAACUUGGACAGAAACUUAAAGAACCUAGGCUACUGUCCUUAUGACUUAUCUUUAUACGACUCAUAUAGUAAACUUACGACUUUAAGGGUUGAGUCGUACCUAUAAUAGAAUGUCAACCAUUUCACACUAUCUUGAAUACAACUAUAACAUAUGACCUGUAUGUUGUAUGUAGACUCAAAGAAAUGAGUUAUAUAAUGCACAGAAGCUUUCAGACACGGGAUAUUACAAUAUCUCCCCCUUGGAUACAUUCAUCCUCGAAUAUGAUUCACUUAGGAUUUGAGAAAAGAAUUAACACAUCUACACCAAACUUAAACAAGCCUAUAUUUAUCAUAAGGAUCCAAUUACUUACAAUAUAAAAUAUGACUUAAGAAUACUUAAACGGACUUAAAGAGAAAGAGUUUUGGCUGAAAAUAACUAUUUACCUUCAGUAGGAGCUGAGUUGGAAGAAAAGAGAUGACGAUACUUGGUCAUCAUGUCUGCUUCAGCUUCCCAAGUAGCCCUUUCAACCAAUUAGUUUCUCCAAAGAACUUUUACUGAUGUUAUUUCCUUAUUCCUUAGACUUCGGACCUGCCUAUCAAGUAUCUUCACAGGAAUCUCCUCAUACGUCAAGUUAUACUUGACCCCAAUUUUCUCUAUGGAAACUACUAAGAACGGAUCUCCAAUGCACUUCUUAAGCAUCGAAACAUUGAACACUAGGUGAACCACAACUAACUCUGAUGGAAGAUUUAAUCUGUAAGAACCUCUCCUACACGUUUCACUAUCUCAUACAGACCAACAAAUCAUGGAAUCAACUUUCCUUUCUUCCCAAAUCUCAUUAUUUCCUUCAUAGGUGACACUUUCAAUAAUACCCAAUCGCCCACUUCAAACUUGAGCUCUCUUCUCCUUACAUCAACAUACGAUUCUGACGGCUCUGGGCAAUUUCCAGUCUUUCACAAAUAAACUGAACCUUUUCCAUAGCUUCAAGAACAGAGUCCGUCCCAAUCAAAGUCGCUUCACCAACCUCAAACCAUCCUAUAGGUAAUUUACACCUACGCCCAUACAACGCUUCAAACAACACCAUCUGAAUGCUAGCAUGAUAACUGUUGUUAUAAGAGAAGUCAAUCAAAGGUAGGUGGUCAUCCCAACUUUGUACCAAUUAUGCUUAACCAUCUGUCUGUGGAUGAAAGACAAUACUAAGCUUAACCUUUGUACCAAGGCCCUUCUGAAAAGACUGCCAAAAUUCUGAAAAGACUGCCAAAAUUGUGAAGUGAACUGAGUGCCUCUAUCUGAAAUGAUGAAGAAGGGUAUCCCAUGAAGCCUUACUAACUCGCAGAUAUACAUUUUGGCAUAAUCUUUCGCAGUAUCUGAAGUCUUGAUAAGUAGGAAAUGAGCUGGCUUAGUCAUUCGAUAUACUAUGACCCAAUUUAAAUCAUGCUGAAGUGUUGUACGAGGCAACCCUCUGAUGAAAUCCGUAUUCACAAUUUCCCACUUCCAAGUAGGAAUCCUGAUCUCCUGUAGCAUACCACCCGGUCUCUAGCGUUCAACCUUUAACUUGCUAGCAAUUUUGAUACUUGAAUACAAACUCUGCUAUGUCCCUCUUGAUACCAUCCCACCAAUAAAUUUCUUGUAAGUCGUGGUACAUCUUAGUAGCACCCGGAUGAAUGGAAUACCUCAAACCAUGAGUCUCGGCUAGUAUUCUUUCCCUCAACCCGUCUACAUUCGGAACACAAAACCUACCUUGAUAACGAAGUACACCAUCUCCCCCUUGGAAGAAAACCUCAACCCUCUAUUGCUGGACUACUUCCAAUAUUUGGUUAAUUAUAAGGUCAUUUUAUUGUUUCUCCUUCACUUUCACUAUCAAAGAUGAUUCUGAACCAUUCUGAACUAUUAUUCCCCCAUCAUCACUGUCGAGCAAACGUACUCCCAAUCGGGCUAACCUAUGCACCUCUUGGUCCAAUUCCCGUUCUUCGUCUUUCACAUGUGAUACACUAUCCAUAGACAGCCUACUCAGUGCAUCUGCCACCACGUUGGCCUUACCCGGAUGAUAGAGUACACUCAUGUCAUAAUCUUUUAGAAACUCCAACCACCUUCUUUGACAAAGAUUUAGCUCCCGCUGAGAAAAUACAUAUUGAAGACUUUUAUGGUCAGUGAAAACAUCAACAUGCAUACCAUAGAGGUAAUGCCUCCAAAUUUUCAAAGCGAAUACUACGGUAGCUAACUACAAGUCGUGAGUUGGGUAAUUUAUUUCCUGAUCCCUAAGUUGCCUGGAGGCAUAAGAUAUCACUCUCCAAUUUUGCAUCAACACACAACCUAACCCAACUCUAGAAACGUCACAAUAUACCACAAAUCCGUCUAACCCUUCCUGUAAAGCUAACACUAGAGAUGAAGUCCAUUUAUCCGUCAGCUCUUGAAAACUCUUCUCACACUUAUCUGACCAUAUAAACUUCACUUUCUUUUGAGUCAACUUAGUCAAUAAUGCGGCUAUAGAGGGGAACCCUUCAACAAACGUUCUAUAAUAUCUAUUUAAACCCCAAAAGCUCCUGAUAUCAAAUGGAGUGAUGGGACUAGGCCAAGAUUCACCGCAUUAGUCUUCUGAGGAUCAACAUGAAUACCAGCCCCUGAAUGACAUGCCCUAAGAAGAAAACAGAUUCCAACCAAAAUUCAUAUUUACAAACUUCGCAUAUAAUUGAUGUUUCUUGUGUGUCUGCAUACUAUUCUCAAAUGGUCUGCAUGUUCCUCCUCACUCCUGGAAUACAUCAGUAUGUCAUCUAUAAAGACAAUGAUAAACAUGUCCAAGUACUGUUGAAGACCCAGUUCAUCAUAUCCAUAAAGGCUGCAGGAGCAUUUGUUAGUCCAAACGACAUAACCACAAACUCAAAAUGGUCAUAACUUAUUCGGAAAGCUAUUUUUCGAAUGUCUUGCUCCCUGACUUUCAACUGAUGAUAUCUCAGCCCAAGGUCAACCUUGGAAAACCACCAGGCACCCUAAAGCUGAUUGAACAAAUCAUCGAUUUUAAGAAUAGGAUACUUGUUCUUGAUGGUAACCUUGUUUAGUUGUCUAUAAUCUAUACACAUUCUGAGAGUGCCAUCUUUCUUGCGAAAAGGACUAGAGCACCCCACGGAGAAAUCACAACUUUACUUUCUUUUAUUACACAAUAUCCCAAAUUUUCAAACUGAUUGCAAAUAUCCCAUAUUUAAAACUUCUCUCUCUGUAGUUCAUAGACAUAACUUUACCUUCCCCUUCUCACGCUUUUAUUUUCUUAAAAGGUGCCUACAAUCAAGGAAACUCAAUUUUUCAAAUUGUGAAUUUACUGUAUUUCUCAAAUUUCUAUUUCUAAUUGAUAAAACCAUACAAAAAAUAACCUUAAACCCUACCUGAAUCCCCCCAGGGAUGGGCAUAUUUUAAUUCAAAUCAAAAAAAUUAAAAAAUCAAACUAGAAUUUAAUUUUGGUUUCAAUUUUUUGAUUUUUCGAAUUUGUUUUGAUUUCAGAUUUUAGAAAUUCGAUUAAACGGUUCAAUUUUUUAUUUUUCCAAAAAAACCGGUUAAACCAAAAAAUCAAAACAAUAUGUAUAUAUAUAUAUAUAUAUAUAUAUAUAUAUAUAUUCAGUAUAAAUAUAAUAUAUAAUAAUAUAUAAUAAGUAACCCAAAUCGUCAAACGUCUUAUGAGUAACGAGUUAUGUUCCUAACCCUAAAUAUUCAUUUCAACACUAAUUGUUGGCUUGUUUUAGGCUUUCAGUGGCGCAUUGAGACGAAACAACGAGUACCGAGUUUUCUGCUGCAGUUACGUAUUAUGUUAAACUUAUGGUUAUUUUAUUUCAUUUCAUAUGUAUUGAGUUAUUUAUAUUUGAGAAUGAAAAAUAGGUUUGAAAAAAAUUAUUUUUCUAGAAAAAUCACCAAUUUUAAAUGUCCAAUCAUAACAAAGAAAGACUCACUACUUUAAUCUUCAAAAACGAAAUAAAAAUUUGAAACUAACCAAACUAAAUUUGUAAAAAUCAAACCAAACCGAAAUAAUUCAGUUUGGUUACAAUUAUCAUUUUUGUCAAUUCAAAAAUAAAAGAAUUGAACCGAAAAUCGAACAAACCAAACCCCCCCGAGAUCAACCGCCAUGACUGGGAAUACACUUGUGCAUCCCAGCUCGGCUGAAAAUUUCAAAGAUGAGAGUCGCCGCCCCUACUUUUUUUCAGUAAUCACCCCCCGAGGAAAAAUAUAAAACGGACGGAGAAUUCGAGAACACAACAAGAAAUCAAGAAUACUAUUUUAUGUAGCCUGUUGUUCUACUUUUUUUUUUUUUUACCAAGUUGGGUGUUCAAAAUGUUUGAUUUCAAGAAGACUGCAAUCCCACUUCCUCCUUCAAAUUCAUACAAUUUCCUUUAUGAUAAUACCUUGAAUAAUGGACUCAAACAAAAUCGUAGCAGCAACAAUGGAAGCAACACACUAUUGGUGAAGCAAUUGGUGUUCAUUUGCUUCAAAAUCAACUAGUUAUAUCUGAUAACAAAGAGAAUGUUGCACGAAAUAGUCUUGCUAAGAGUUUGGAUUGAUGCUGGUGAUAUCAUUGUUGUUGGAAGAAAAGAAAAAAGAGGAUAAAAGAAAAGGUAUGUAUGUAUGGAAUUUGAAAUUGCCGAGAGUUUUUAUAUCACAUCAUAUACAUAUGAAAUUUGUUGUUACUUCAUCCCAUAUACAUAAUAUAAUUAUGUACAUGAGCCCAUAUACUUUAAAUUUGUUAUGUAUACGUGGUGAAACAAAUGGACCAUUUAUUUCAGAACAUAUAUAUUAUAGAGUUAUAUUAUGCAUUAAUAGUGUUAUACAUAGCACAGUUAUGUAUAUCGAUCCAUAUAUAUUUCUUUUUUGCAUGUGUUGAAACAUACUUUUGGACUGUUGUAUUUUCAGAACAAAUACAUUACAGAGGGAUGUAUAUGUUACGCAUUAACAGUGUUAUACGUGUUAUAACACAGUUAUGUAUAUGACUGUUAAACAAGUUGAGGUGUAUUUAUUUCAGCCUAUAUAUGUAGCAUUGUUAUGUAUAUGAAAGAAUAUUUGACAUGAAUAUUAAACAUUGUUUUAUGUUUUCAAGUUUUGCAUUCAAAUGCAACUGCCGAAAUACCUCAAUCUCUAAUUCUGAUUGUUGAAAUUGAUUUGGUGUUACAAAUUUUGUAAUUAAAAAGCUGCUACUGAAUUUAAGAAAUUCAUUAAUUACAAUUCCAUAAAUAUAAAGUUAAUUGUGUUAUGUAUGUAUUUAGUGCAGAUAUUUUAUUUUUUAAUUAUGGUUAAAUUAAUUAGUUCAAAUACAUAAAGAAAAUUAAAAAAAAGGGAGAGAAGAUGAUUAUAUUUCAAAAUGGUGGAAUUUGUUGUCAUUUACACUAUAUAUACAAUCAGCCAGCAUAAAGUGUGUGCGGAAACCCAUGUAUAGAUUUCAAAAACAAAUAAAAGAAACAAACAGCAACUAAACAUGCCUAGUUCAUCUUUACGCGGAAUCCAUAAUGUCUAGUAAGAUUCAUCAUGAUUGUUCACUUUUUUUUUUUUUGACAAUCGUGUUUGCCGCCUGCCAAGCUAGCUUGAGCGCUUCUCGACUAUUUUCACAGGAUCUACCACCUUCCACUAGUAACAAGUACAACGUAACUUUACACCAAAAAUAUGAAAAAAAAAAAAAGUAAUCAUGGAGCUGCCUUUCUCUUCAAAACACUCAACCUUCCUCCCCUUUCAGGCUUAUCCACCAUAUACAAGCUGGAAACAAAUUCCACCAUUUCUUCUGCCUAACACACAGCUGCCCACAUUGUUCCAAUAACUGAAAAAUAUCGAUCAUCAUCUGGAGCAUAGUCCAUCUAACCAUAGAGCUGCUGCUAAAAAAAAAAAACAAAGAAAGGUUAGACAAAACAUCAAGGCAUAAGAGGUGAAAAGGCUUGCAGUAAAACAUAUUUCAAUCCAAAACUUGACAAUUACUUGUAAGAAUGUAUAAGAUUUUGUCCACUGCAAUUCCAAAGCAAAGCUGAAAAUGAGAACUGCAGAUGACUUUAAAAAGUUUUGAAUAAAGCAGUUGAUCUCAGAGUAUUGAAUUCUUUGACACUGCCAUGGCUGCAAACUUGACAUAAAUUUAGUCUAUAAAGAACUUAGUGCCCAGAACGUGCAAUUUUAUGUACAUUGCUCUGGAAAGUGCAAGUCCCUAAGAUCCAUGAAAUUACACCAAAAGCUAAAAGGGUAGUUGAUUAGAGCAAUGAAGAAAUCACUGACAUACCGAAGAUGGUCAACCACCGUGGAAAACAAAUUCCCAUUUCUCUCCGAUCGUUUCGGUCUUUUGAGCUAAAACGAACUGGGUUUCCACCAAACAAGGAUCUGAAUACGUAUUUGAAUAGAGGCUCAGAUAUGUGGAAAAUGGGGCAAAGAGGAGAAGACAAUGACAAUGCCAUGGUUGCAAAAUGAACCGGUUGCAUGCUUCAAGUUUGCCCCACCAAGAUACGAGUCGUGUUUCUCAAUGCCCCAAAUUUCAGCCCAGAAUCAUCGGGAAAUAUCAUCAUUGCCUCUUUAGAAAGAUGGAAACGUUUCUACAACAACUCUUUGACAGUGUUCAAGAAAAAUAAAGUGGAACAGAGGGAGUAUUAGUAUUAGUAUAGUACUGCUGCCACUUCUUCGGAGGUAGUAGUAUGGACUGCAUACAUUUUACCCUCCCCAGACCCUACUAUGUGGGAUUACACUGGGUUUGUUGUUGUUGUAUUAUUGGAAAUUGCACAAACAUAGAAACAGAGGGUUUCGGUUUGGUGGGACGGAGAAUAGGCCAAUCAGAGAGGCAACCACCCUCCAAUAAAUCCAUUUUUUGAUCUCUGUUGACCUCAUUUUUGCUUCUGGGAUGAACUGAUAGAUUGACGCUCAGGUCUGUAUUGCUCAGGCAAAGAAAUUCCGGUGACGCCUUGGCUGCAAAUAUUCCAAAGGUGCAUGCAAUAAAUACAGCCAUCCGGGUCAUUGCCCAGCUGAGAUACCAGUUGGGUACUCUCAAUGCUCAAUUACUAGCUCAAGAGGAUAGAUUUAAAGAUCAUCACUGUCCCGGUAAGGAACCAUUUUUGACACUCUCAUUAUGUGUUUGUGUCCAUAUACAGAGGAUUUUUUCGUUAUUUAGGUUUAGAACUCCUCGAGCCUUUGGAAACAGCCGGGGUCUAUCGGAAACAGCCUCUCUACUUCUUCGGAGGUAGCGGUAUGGACUGCGUACAUUUUACCCUCCUCAUACCUCACUUUGUGGGAAUACACUGGGUUUGCUGUUGUUGUUGAACUCCUCGAGCCUUCAACAUCCAGUUGCACUAGUUGGAAGUGAGGCUAAGAACUGCAAAAAAUAGGGCAAAGAGAAGGAAACAAUCACCAUAGCUGCAAAAGAACCAAUUGCAUGUGAAAGAGAAAACUCAAUCACAAGCCACCCGGAUUUGCCAUGCCAAGAUACUGGUCAGAUUGUCUAGAUGCCCCAAAAAUCAGCCCAAAUUACCGAUAUCAUCAAUGCCUCUCUCGGCAAAAAUGGAAACUUUUCCACAAGAACCUGUUCGAACAACCUUAACAAGAAAACUUAACAAGAGUCUGUUUGGAUGGAGGACUUAUUUUAAGCGGCAUUUAAGCAUAAGCAUAAAAGAAACAAGACCUUAGCUCAGAGGGUCAUUUGCUCUUUUGCCCCAUGCCCUUAAAGAAUUGCAAUUAAAUGUAGCUCAGUAUGAUCAGAAAAUUGAAUAGUAUUACUCCCAUCAGCAUCACAUUGCGAGCAUUGAAGGCGACGGCAACAACCAUUGCUUCUUGUUUCUACUUUUGGAAAGGGUUGCUGGUUUGGUUGAAGGCGACGGCAACAACCAUUGCUGGUUUGCUGGUUCAUGGCCAAACAGCUCCUUUGAUUAAUGCAAUAUUUUGAAUUUUAAAUUUAGAUAUUUGAAAAUUAUACAAAAAAUAAUAUAAGUUACAAUCCAUUCUCAUAUUAAUACGAUUUAAAAAAUAUAUACGUUGAAGUGCACGGAGCGAGUAAAGUGUACAGCCCAAAAUCCAGGAAAUUACAGUAAAGGCUAAAAAGGGCUGUUAAAAUUAGAUCAAACAAGAAAUCAUUGACAUACCAGAGACUGAAAAAUUCCCAAUUUUUUUCCUGAUUACCUCAGUCUUUUGAGCUAAAAUGAACUGGGUUUCCAUCAGAUCUGGAUUUGAAAUAGAGGCUCAAAUGUGUGUUUGGUGAGGGGGGGAUAGGAGAAGACAACAACACCAUUUCUGCAAAAUAAACCCCGUUUUGGGUUUUGCCCCGCCAAGAUACAAGUCGAGUUUUCUCCGUGCCCCAAAUUUUUUCAGCCCAGAAGAACCAUCACACAGCAAAUAUCAGCAUCACUGCCUCUUUAAUAUAGCAAUUUGUGGACAGUUUUCAAGAAAAGAAAAAAUGGAACGGAGGGAGUAAUAAUUAGUAGUAAUAUUGAUGCUAUAGCAAUGGAGGGCUGUUAGUUUGGAGGGAUGGAGAAAUCAUAGGUCAAUCAGAGGGGGCAACCACCCUCCAAGAAAUCCAUUUUUUUGUUCUCCCUGUUGGUCUCAUUCUACCUUCUGGGCUAAACUGAUCCACAUUCUUGAGUAAAGAUUCUUUAUAGAUGGAGAUUGGAGCCUACCUGUUUGGAAAGCCACCUGGUAAGUUUAGAGAGCUUUUGUCUCGUAAGUUUUGUAGAUAUUAACUUAAGCAGCAUAAGUUGUGUAAUAUAAAAAGCAUCAAUUCUUUCACCACAAACAGAUACUUGGGUAGUGCAGAUUCACCUUUUCUCAAACAUAAGCUAAAGCCCACCAUGGCUGCUAGUACGAGGAGCCUUUGCUAGAGGCAGAAACCAAAAUAGCUCCAAUAUCUCACAAGACCCACCAAAAGCUGCCACGCCAAGAUACAGCGAAGCUCAACCAUUUGAUGAGUAAAGAAUGAGAAUCAUCACAGCCUUAUUAUGGGCCUCAUGUUGAAGGUCAUAUUAGUAGAAAUGACACAAUGUAGCCACAUUCCAGGGAUCACCCUAAGGAUGUUGUUGUACACAAGGUAGCCACUUUAGGGCUGAUUCACUACAACAUUUUACUCCAUAUCAAAUACGCUCAUAGGAAGACACAAGUGACAAUUGAGGUUCAGAUUUGUAUUAUGCUCAGGCAAAGAAAGUCCAGCCAAGCUAUGGCUGCAAAUAUUCACAAGUUGCAUGCGACAAAAUCACAAGCAUCCGGGUCAUUGCUCCACCAAGAUACCGUCCGGGUAGUCUCAAUGCUCAAUUACUAGCUCAAGAGGAUAGAUUGAAGAUCAUCACUGUCACAAUAAGGGACCAUUUUGACAUUUUCUCAUGAUGCGUCUAUUUGUGUGUGUGCGCAUACAGAUGGAUUUUUGGUCAUUUAGGUUCAGAACUCUUCAAAUCCUUGGACAUCCAGUCAGACUAGUUGAAAAUUGAGGCUCAGAGCUGCAAAAAAUGGGGCCAAGAGAGGGUGAAAACGGUCAUGGCUGCAAAAGAACCAGUUGCAUGUGAAAGAGAAGACUCAAUUACAAGCCAUCUGGGUUUGCCAUGCCAAGAUAUGUGUCAUAUUGUCUCCAUGCCCCAAAGACUCAAUCACAAGCCAUUUGGGUUUGCCAUGCCAAGAUAUGUGUCAUAUUGUCUCCAUGCCCCAAAAAUCGGCCCGAUUAACUGUAUAAUCACUGCCUUAAAAAUGGAAACUUUUUUAAAAGAGCCGGUUUGAACAACCUUAAUAAGGAAAAAAAAAACUAUUUGGAUGAGCUUAGUAUUUUAAGUAGCUUUUAAGCAUAAGCAUAAAACAAAUGAGAUCUUAGCUCAAAGGGUCAAUUGCACUUUAGCCUCGUGCUCUUAAAGAACUGCAAAUAAAUGUAGCUCACAAUGAUCAGAAAAUUGAAUAGUACUACUGCUGUCAGCAUCACAUCGCCACCAUUGAAGGUGAUGGAAACAAAUAUCGCUUCUCGUCCCUGUUAUCAAAAGAAAAACAAGCAAAAAAGAAGGUCCAUUGGGCUUUAUGUGCACAAUGCAAAUACAGCGUGAGCUUUAACGAAGAGAGGCUCAAAGGGAGGAAGAAAAAAAAUAUAUCUAGUCCAAGACUAAUAAUUAUAAGAAGAAUGACAAAUGUAUGGACAAGGAAAUUGAAAAAAAUUACGAUAAAGUGAAAUAUCAAUUGCUUAGUUUCGCUUCUAAUUGGCAAGGAAAAGUAUGCCUUAGAGCCUUGGUGACAGACAUAAAGCGCACAUUAAGUGAUGCAAAGCGCUCAACAUGUUUUAAGCCUUGCUCGGGACAUAAGCGCGCCACUGAAAACACAGCUUCUUGUUUCCACCUUUGUAGAGGGUUGUUGGUUUGGCUACAAGAGAAAUCAUAGGCCAAUCAGAGGGGGCCAACCAACCUCAAAAGAAAUUCCCUUUCUCCCUGUUGGGCUCAUUCUUCAUCCUAGGCUGAGCUUGCAUCACUGAGUCAUUCACAGUUACUGCCCCUAUUUAGUGCUGGUCUUUAAUUUAUGCCCCUCGUAACAAACAACUUCUUGGUGAAACAUAAGUUUAUAUUUUCGCAUAGUAAUAUCCUGCAAUUUCUGUUCGGGUAUAACUUCAAUUUCUAAAGAAUUUAACAUUAUGUCCCCAAAACAUGCAAUUAGGGUGUGUUUGUGGAAGAAAAUAUUUUCCUAUUUUUUCAUGUUCGGUUAAAGUUUUAGAAAAAUAUUUUUUUUAUAACAACAAGCUCUUGAAAAUAAGCUCCUCAAUAAAUGUAGCGAAAACAAGUGACAUGUAGCAAAAGAAAGUGACUUAUCUCCUCUCACCCUUACAACCACCCACCCCAGCAAGCAUCCCGCUACUCAUCCUCUAAUUUUGUGUUAGAUAUAAACAAAUAUUUUUAGGAUAAUGUUUUUAUUUACUUUUAUUUUUCAACAAUUUUUUAUUUUUAUUUAUACCAAACACAAAACCACUUAUUUUUCUAAAAAAUACUUUCUUCGAAAAUAUUUCCCAUAGAAAACAUUCUCCUCCAUACCAUACCAAAAACACCUUAAAUUACAGCAAAAGCUAAAAAAAGCUAUUGAUUAAAGCAAAGAUGAAAUCAUUGACAUACCACAGAUGGCCAACCACCCUGAAAAAAGAGCAACCCGGUGCACAACGCUCCCAAUACCACGGAGCCGGUCACAAAGGUUUAUAGCAUAGAGUAUUAUUCUGCAUUUCUGCAAGAGGCUGUCUUCACGACUUGAACCAUAACAUUCUGAUCACAUCACAUUAACUUUACCAGUUACACUUAGACAAAUCCCCACCUUUAUAAAAUAAUUGCUCCCUCCGUUUCAAAAAGAAUGAUCUAGUUUGACUUGACACGGAGUUUAAGAAAGUAAAGAAGAUUUUUUAUUCUUAUGGUCCUAAAUUACAGUUGUAUCAAAUGUACCAAAAUGUUUUUCAAUUUUGUGGUUUUAAGCACGUCACUUGUAAAGUAGAAAUUAAAAUAUUAUAAAAAAAAGGGUCAUUCAUUUUGAAAUGGACUAAAAAGGAAAGUAAAUUAUUUUUUUUUGAAACGGAGGGAGUACAAAAAUACCCAAUAAUGCUUAUCUUCUUUGGAUGUAUCAGGAGCUAAUUAUGUAUCUUGACACAUCUAAAAUAAAAAAGAGAGUAUUGGAAGCUAAUUAUGUAUUUUUGUAAAGAAAACAAUGUAUUUCAUUGGAUGUAUCGGGGGCUAGACCCAAAAUUGAGAUUUUAGCAAUUAUGCAAAUAUCAAAAUUUCCUAUAAUUAAGAAAACUGUAGGGAUUUAUAUUGUUUCUAAAAAAAAUCAUUUUUGACCCGGACCUGAAUUUAUCAAAUAGAGGGAGGCUCAGAUGUGUGUAAAAUGGGGAGCAAAAAGAAGAAAAAUACGACAACGCCAUGGCUGCAAAACGAACCGGGUUUCGAGUAUUGCCCCGCCAAGAUACAGGUCGGGUUUUCUCCAUUGCCCCGAAUAAUAACAAUAAUUUUCAGCCCAUAUAUCAUCAUCACACAGCAAAUAAUUAAUAUCAUCAUCAUUGCCUCUCUUUUUUUUGGUAGUAGCAAUUUGUGGACUGUGUUUCCAAAAGAAAAGUACAAAAUGUAUCAGAGGGCGUAAUAAUAUUAGUGUUGGCAUCAAUGCCAAAGUAGAGUUCAUUGGAAAUGAGAGGAAGGGAGGGUUGUUGAUUUUGGUGGAAAUGAUUUGUUAUGAUCUCAAUUCUCAAAAGCUAAAAAGGAGUAAUCACAAUAUUUUUAGGAUAAUUUUCUGAUAGUAUAUUGACUGAUAUUGAGUAAUGAUUACAACUAAUGAAAACUAAAGGUAACUAAAAAUAUGAAAAACUAUCUACUCGACUCCAUAGAUGAGCUUGUAACCUGUAGAAGGGAAGAGAAGAGAAUAGAAUAGAAUCAGAUUAGAGGAUAGAAAGAGAGAUGAGAGGAUUCAGAAAAUGAGGGAAUUUGGACUAUACCAGUAAUGCCAUAAUACUCUGCCAAAUGAGUUUUUUAGGUUUUAUAACAAAACUCGUCCAGCUGGCUGCAUCUGAGCUCUUGGAGCUCAUUAACUCAAUUCUGUUCGUGGCCGUUGAUUUUAGUGUUAGUUAUUUCCCUCUCUGUCUUUCUAGUUUCGAACUCGAGUGACUGCAUUCAUUUUAUUGCCAUUUCUCAAGUCAUUACAUACCCUUCCUCUUCAAAUAAUCCUUGACCUCAAGGAUGAGCUAAAAAUCUGAAAUUUAGAACACCCCACUUGUUGAAGAACACCAAGUCCUCAAGGGUGUUAUCCUCUUCCAGGAUCGAAUGAGAAUUGAUGUGAAGGACCACCAAAUGAAAUACCAAUGCCUUCUGGAUCAAAUGGGAACUUGUAAUCCUCAAGAAUAUACACGGAAGUCACAUAGAGAAGACGUAAAAGGGCUAUAAUUCUAUCAUCUAUGAUUGCUAUUUGAGAACCAUAAGUAGCUUUCUUCAUGCAUAUCAUCUUCUCUUUAGGGACCAUAUAGUUCAGCAGAUGACUAUCCUCUGAAGUAGGUAGUUCACGCACGUUAUAAAAGCUCAAAAAAGAUGCAACAAUUUUUGGAGGAUCAAAAUUAUUGCCAGAGAAGAAAUUAGAGUCUCUCCAAGGCACAACCCAAGUAUCAAGCGCAAAGAAACUUGUUUGCACUGUGUUCUCCCAUCCUUCUUGAUUUGAAGAUAAAUCCAAGUCAUAACUUGAAUGAUGUAACCUUAUACCUCCACGAGUAUCUACAAACAAAUUGUUCAACACAAUAUUUGGAGGAUCCUUUGAUUUCUCUCGAAAUACCAAGUCAGUCGAACGCCACAUCCUACUCGAAUGACUUCCAUUGUAUUCCAUUUUGUGUAAGCCAUGACUCAGCGAUGCAUCCUGAGAACUUGGCUGAAGAAGUUCAAAGUUAUCAUCCAAAGGCAAAAAUGCUACAAGACAAGAAGCUAACAAGUAUUCCAAUUUUAGAAAGUUAAGCUUCCUUUCACAUUGUCUUGAGCCCUUAGUUUCCUGCCUAGUGUCGAAUGUUCCUAACUUAACUUCAGUUUUGGUUGACCAAUUCACUAGUAAUUCUUUUUGAGUAGUCCGUAACCAUGUAGCUUUGCCAUCUUCAAGUCUACGCCAAAAGUUAUGAGCACACGAGUACAUUGCAACAGGAAGGAUAAAAUCAAAUAACCAAGAAUGACAUAGUCUACAAAUAUGUAGUAGUUUUUCCAGGGAACACUUUGCUCUAGCAGUAGACAAACUUCUAGCGAUGACUGAAUCCCUUCUUUGAGAAGCUUUCCAGAUGGUACACCUUUCAACUGACCAAUUGUGUUCAAAAAAAUCAAUUGAGGUUACCUUUUUAAGUCAUCAAGCAAGGUUAAUUACAAAAUUGAGCCCCAAAGUAACAUUAUCUCCUUCCUGGAUGAUGUUGUUACUUGUAAGGAUAGGCCUCCUAUACCACUAUAAUCAUAGUUAUAUAUUGAAAUGGCAGAAAUUGAACAAAUAGAACCAAUAUGCACAACAGGGAAAUGGAUAAACAACUGCCAUCCAGUAUCCCACACUCAAUUGAUGUUAUCAGAAGAUCUAUGCAAACAAAACAUGUAAGUAAUAUCACUCUCCAGUUUUAUAUUGAAUAGCUUGUCACCAAGAUCCAUGUCAAGCUUAUGUCCCAUGUAUUUAAAUAGAAAACUCAGUACCUCAAUUGAAAUUGACCAAGGUGUACACUCAAGGCGGGUCGUGAAAUUAUAAGCACCGGACAGAUCGUUGGGACCCAUCAAUUUUGGUAUUGUAUCCUCAACAAUAAAAACAUAAGGUUGUGAAUCCAAAUGCGAGUUCACAAUAUCGAUCUUCGUGGUGUUUGUAUUUUGGAUGAAGUGAAGUUCAAGUAGAACUUCAGAUUCAGCCCUUUGAGGACAUUCGUCGAACACCUGGUCCUCGUUGUAUUUUGAAUCAAUCUUACUGCUAUUUUCAACCUUCAGCAGUUCGGCCAUAGUUUUCUCCUUCAUUCUUUUUCCUCGAACAAUCAUUAAAACAAAAGUGGCAUUGGCAGUCAACACUGCGUAUGCAACCAUAUACGCAAGAGUUACAUUGGCAGUCAACACUACAUAUGCAAUCCUCAGACCACCUCUGCCAUUGUUUAACAUUCACAACUAUUCUUGACAUUCCAUCCAUAAGGGCCCUCUAUUUGCAUUAUUUCGUUCAACCAAUUCAGCCAUAGUAAAUUCCGCAAAUAUCUUCUUCGAAUUACUACCCACAGUCGAGACAGGUUUGUAUCUCUGAUACGAAUUGUUAUGAUCUCAAUUCUUAAAAGCUAAAAAAGAGUAAUCACAAUAUUUUUGGGACAAUUUUCUGAUAGUAUAUUAACUGAUAUUGAAAGAUGAUUACAACUUAUGAAAACUAAAGAAUAACUAAAAAUAUGGAAAACAAUCUACUCGACUCCAUAGAUGAGCUUGUAACCUGUAGAAUAGAAUAGAAUAGAAUCAGGUUAGAGGAUAGAAAAAGAGAUGAGAUGAUUCAGAAAAGAAGGGAAUUUGGACUAUACCAAUUAUGCCAUAAUACUCGGCCAAACGAGUUUUUUUAGGCUUUAUAACAGAACUCGUCCAGCUGGCUGCAUCUGAGCCCUUGAAGCUCACUAUUUGAAUUCUGAUCGUGGCCGUUGAUUUCAGUGUUAGUUAUUUCCCUCUCUGUCUUUCUAGUUUCGAACUCGAGUGACUGCAUUCAUUUUAUUGCCAUUUCUCAAAUCAUUACAUCUUUUGAGCUAAAAUGAACUGGGUUACCCAUCAGAUCUGGAUUUGAAAUAGAGGCUCAGAUGUGUGUACAUAUGUGUGUGUUUUGUGAGGGGGGAUAGGAGAUGAGAAGACAACGACAAUGCCAUGGCUGCAAAAUAAACCAGGUUUCGGGUUUUGCCCCGCCAAGAUAUGACUCGUUUUUAUCCAUGCCAUGAAUUUUUUCAGCCCAGAAGAUCACACAGCAAAUAUCAGCAUCACUGCCUCUUUAAUAUAUCAAUUUGUUGACAAUUCUCAAGAGAAGUAAAAAUGGAACAGAGGGAGUAAUAAUUAAUAGUACUAUUGAUGCUUAUAGCAAAGGAGGGUUGUUGGUUUGGUGGGAUGGAGACAUCAUAGGCCAAUCAGAGGGGGCAACCAUCCUCCAAGAAAUCCAUUUUUUUGUUCUCCCUGUUGGUCUCGUUCUACCUUCUAGGCCAAACUGAUCCACAUUCUUGAGUAUUCUUUAUAGAUGGAGAUCGGAGGCUAUAAGGAGUUCCUGUUUGGAAAGCCACCUGGUAAGUUUAGAUAACUUUUGUCUCGUAAAUUCAGUAGAUAUUAAGUUAUGGAGUAUAAAAAACAUCAAUUCUUUCAACACAAAACAGAUAUUUGGUAGCUUAGAUUCAUCUUUUCUCCAACAUAAUCUAAACCCCACCAUGUUUCCUAGCACAAAGAGCCUUUGCUAGAGGCAGAAACCAAAAUAGCUACAAUAUCUCACAUGACCCCCCAAAAGCUGCCACGCGAAGAUAUAGCGAAGCUCGACCAUCUAAUGAGUAAAGAAUGAAAAUCAUCACAGCCUCAUCACGAGCAGCAUGUCGAAAAUCUUAUUUGUAGAAAUGACACAAGGUAGCCAUGUUCCAGAUCACACCAGUAGGAGUGGACAUAUUUUGAUUUAAAUCAGAAAUAUUGAAAAAUCAAGCCGAAAUUUAAUUUUGGUUUCAAUUUUUUUAUUUUUCGGAUCGGAUUUGAUUUGUAAUUUUAAAAUUUUGAUUUUUCUAUUCGAUUUUCAAUUUUUUUUAAAAAAAAUCGAUUAAACCGAAAAAUCAAAAAUUUAUAAAUAAAUAAAUAAUAUAUAUAUUUUAUUAUAUAUAUAUAUAUAUAUAUAUAUAAGGGGAGCCUUGGAGAAAGAGAUAAAGUUGCUCUCAUGNNNNNNNNNNNNNNNNNNNNNNNNNNNNNNNNNNNNNNNNNNNNNNNNNNNNNNNNNNNNNNNNNNNNNNNNNNNNNNNNNNNNNNNNNNNNNNNNNAAUAUUAUGUUUUAUAUAUAUAUAUAUAAUAUUUAGUAAUUCACAUUCAUAAUUAACAUUUAACAGCAAAUUCGUAUAUGCCGCAGACUGUUUAUGGAUUGUUUUAGUGACUCAAAUAUUUUAUGGACUAUUUUGAUGAUUUUGGACUGUUUUAUGGACUAUUAUGCAAAAAAUAUGUUGUUUCGUGGACUAUUUUUAUGAGUUUUGUGUUGUUUUGUAGACUAUUUAUAUAAGGUGAUAUUAUAUGUAAUGAUUAAUGACAUUAUGUAUUAUGUUAAGCUUAUGAUUAUUUCAUUUCGGUUCAUCCAUGUUGAGUUAUUUAUAAUUAUUUAUAUUUGGGAAUGAAAAACAGGUUUGAAAAAAAUAAUUUUUCUAAAAAAACCAUCAAUUUUAAAUGUUCAGUUAUGAAAAAGAGAGGCUAACUACUUUAAUAUUUCAAACUGAAAUAAAAAUCCGAAAUAACCGAACCGAAUUUAUUUCGGUUUGGUUACGGAUGUCAUUUUUGUCGAUCCGAAAACCGAUAAAUUGAACCAAUAUUAAACAAUCAGACCGAACCGACCGAACGCCCACCCCUACACACCAGGUAUGCUGUUAUACACAAAAUAGCCACUUUAAGGCUGAUUCACUAAAACACUUCCCUCCAUAUCAAAUACGCUCAUAGGAAGACACAAGUGACAAUUGAGGUUCAGAUUUGUAUUUAUGCGCAGGCAAAGAAAGUCCAGCCAAGCUAUGGCUGCAAAUAUUCACAAGUUGCAUGCAACAAAAUCACAAGCAUCCAGGUCAUUGCCCCACCAAGAUACCGGCCGGGUAGUCUCAAUGCUCAAUUACUAGCUCAAGAGGAUAGAUUGAAAGAUCAUCAC